ACACUUAAUAUAAAACAUGAACGGAGGGUGACAUGUGUCGUGAGGUCAAUGCAUUCAUGUGGUAGCUUGAAAGGUGUUGAGUGGGACGACAGAGGGGUACUUUACUAAGAUAAAUCCAUAUUACAAAGGAAGGAAAAUCGAUAAGAUUGCAAUUAACGGCCACAGAACAGCCGGAACCGCUACAAGGAAAAGGAACAGAGUUCCAUGCAGCUCUCUCCUAGUCCUAGGAGAGCAUCGCCAACGACGCCAAGCAUGCAGCUACCGCACGCUAUUGGUCUUUUAUUCUCGCGCCUUUGCCUAGCAAGACAUAUACCCUUACAUUAUUAUUAUUAUUAUUAGGUGCGUGACAUGACACUCACACCGCCUCGAUGAUGGCGCCGGCCACCGCUUCCCAGCCGCGGAGGUGCUCGUCGUCGACGAUGUUGCUGCCGCGAACGCACUGUCGCACGCACUGUUGGUGCUUGGUCCGAUAUUUCCAGCCCUGACACUUCCUUUGGCAAGACAGUUGGCACUCCCUGUCGCACGGACGCCCGGCGACCUCCUCCUCUUGGGCGUGGCGGUGCUCGUCGACGUCGUUGCCGCCGCCCACAGCGAGGCUGAGGCCGCGGCGCAUGCACUGUUGCACGCACUGGUCCUUCCUCGUCGGGUCUUGCCAGUGGCUACACUUGUUCUCGCAAGACGCUCUGCUGGGGUGGUGAUGCUCCCGGCUGUGGCACUCGUCCACGCACUGCUUUUUCCUCGCCGGAACUUGGUGGUGUUGGCACUUGAGGUCGCACGAGUCGUUCUCCUCCGGAUCAUCGACGCGCAGACGGGCCUCAUCCGCCUCCUCCACCUCCGGGACAGCAGUGGCUACCGCCCCAUCGUCCUGCUCCGCGCCUGCUGCCGCCGCCGCAGCCAGCAGCACCCCGGCGAGCAGGAGGAACCACCAAACCCCACCCUUGUGAAUGAACCCCAUUGCUGCUCACACUAGAGAGUAGAGAUGGAUGGCAAUGGAUGGGAGAACUUGAAGGCCAGCGCCGACCUUUAUAUACACACGAGCGAGAUGUCUAUUGCAUUUGAUUUGAUUUGAGCCAGGCAUCUUCGCGAGAGGACUGCUGUUUAUUGCGUGUGCCAUGAAGUGAACCAUGUGGGGGCCAUUGAUGCCGGGCAAUCACGAGGGACACGAGCAGUACUAUACCAGUAUACUCUACUAAUACCAAGGGAUGCGCUGGUGGCUAAGUUUGGACGAUAACGCCCUCGCAGACGUGUUCGGCUGCCAAGCAAACACCUGCCACGGACGUGGCGACGCAGGCGGUUGCCACGGUGAGGAGUGAUUUGUUUUUAUAUCCCAUCUGCGGGCUGAGUGGCUAAUGUUGUACCGGGAGCGCGCGCCCGGCAAGAGAUCUUCAUCGUCAUUUAAUAAAUACAUUAUAACUGAGCACUUUUUCAGCCCUCUCAGGUCAGCAGUGUUCUCGGCCAUUCAAUCGUUAUUUUGGAUUUUUAGCCGCCAGAUUAGCUCUGAAUCAUGCGUACGUUACUAUUAAGAAGCGCUAACUGUGCCGGGCCGCUGCUCCAGUGACAUUUUUGGACGUCCGAUAUUACUUGGGCCUAAUGGGAUGAAGCUCGACGGUCUUCCUCCCGUAACCGUAGGUGGUAAGUGCAGAUGCGUUACUUGCCUCUUAAUCUUCAUCCGUUUCCUUAUAUAUAAUGCCCACCAUCAUCUGUCUCACAUUCGUAUCGCCUUGAACAUUCUGUUGUUUGACAGCUAAAUCCUAUAGGUCCCGGGCAACAACGUGACGAUCCUCUCGCCUGCGUUUGCGAUGGACAUGGCUGCGCCGAGACAAAGUGCUUUAGCUUCAUGGGCUACCCCAACAACAACAAUGACUUAUUGGUCUUCUUUUCCCACACCCCAACUCAAGUAUGUGAUUGAUUGAUUCAUUCAUUUGUUUCCCGUCAGUGUCCUCUUCGGAUGUGGACGUGGAUUCUUGUUUCAUUUGGCCUGUUGCAUGAGCGAUGCUCAAUGGCGAUCUACAAAGGAACUUCCGGUAACAUGACUGCAUGUGCCCAAGAUUUUGAAAAGAGAAAAAUAGAACUUACUGUCCACUUUUUUUCCGGGUUUAUACUGUUCUUAGAGAGAUUAAAGUGGGGCGAAAGUCUGUAGGUUUGAGGAGGGAGGGAGGGAGGGAGGAAUCCUUGCAGCUGCAUGAGGACGCUUUGAGUCAAUGAGACUUGCUACAUCCUCGCAGUUUCUUCGCAUGUAUGGGGCAACCACUACCUGAUUCAUGUCCCCUCUUCUGGUGCUCCUUAAUCAAUUUACCAGCGAUUUCUCUGGCAAUAUAUUGAAGUCAAACUGAUGGUAAACUCAACAAUAAAUUAGGCAAAAAGUGCAGAUAUUUCGCAGGUUCAACUCUGAAUUUGGUUUAUUGCUCAUGUGCCUUCACGUAUGUAUAUCUUUGCCAUGUGUUAUGUUCUCAUGCAUAGGUCAAAUGAUUUGAAGAAGUUGGACUUGCUCGCCAUUGGUGGUUGUCUUACAUUUUGUUAAAUUCUAUGUAUUGAAGCCUGGAGCCUGGGAGCUAAAACCAAAUUCUGAGAAAAAACAAGACUAACUAUGUGGCAAGAGAAGGAGAAGGACAUCCAUAUAAGCACACACAGUCGCGUGGCGUAUGUCUGGAAAUAUAUUUUUCUGGUACACAGAAUGUCCGGUGUAGGUGCAUGUAGCGCCCCGGUGGAUUUUGAUGAUUAAUGGCAAAAUGGUGGAGGGAGUAACGUGUUUACUAGGUGUACAUAUAUGAAAGUCUCUGGGGAUUUCGUUUAACCGAAAGAUUAUAAACCCUAAAAGUGUUGAGAAAACAAUGAAGUCUUCUGAAUGGCUGACGAAGAAUUGAAGGCCGAAGAGUAGCUCUUAUUUGCUAGUAUAUUUACUUACUAGAUCGGCAACGCACCUUGGCGCAAGGUGCCUGUCCGAAUGUUUUGAUCAAACGUGUAAUGUUAAGUUAUUAGUAACUCAAUUGCUAUUCGGAUGAUAAAAAGGGCAAUGAAAGCAUGAUAUUACCACCAUGUAUCUAAAUGGGACUAACAACGUCUGAAUGAACUGGAGCUAUAAAUAGAUGUCAGACAGAAUGUAACUAAAAAUAUUGGUACUCGCUUAACGUUGCAACCUGAGAAACCUCAAAACACCCACCCAUGAAGCUAUUGCAUCACAAAGUAUAGACAAAUGUUACACUUUGUGUAUGUGAGCCAAGAGGGUUAAUAUCAAGUUGUUGUAAGCUAAACAAAGCAUGAUUUAUCGAUGCCAGGAGCCGACUGUAAAAUCAAUAACUCUAAGUAAGCUAAAGCUAAAACAGAAUGAAAUGAAGUCAUAUAAAAAACUAAAGGAGAUUCAUAUAUAACAGGAAGAAUCACCGAAGAACCAGUUGGAAACAAAGAUCGUUCACAUGCACAAAACGGGAAAUCACCAAACAGUAUACAAUCAUAGAAAGCACACUUCACGAUAACAACAGAAAGUACACUUGACGAUAACAACAGGAAUCCAUAGGAUAUGUAUUUUCUGUUCAAAAGAACAUCAAAAGGGCAAAGGCAAUGAUCAGUAAACAUGCUGGGUAUGAUGCGCUGAUCAAAGCUCACCAGAUAGUAUCCGUGGUCUCUAGGCGCUGCUUCGAUUUCAUGCCAAUAUAACGUAGCCUUUUUUGCCAACUUUCCCAUGCUUGCGAGUGCCGUUUUCAUAGCCCUUUUGGUGCUGUCCUGCCCUCUUAGGCGCCGAGCAGCUAUCGUAUUCUAUAUCUGGUUAGAAUACGAGCUCAUGUAUCUGACGGCAUAGUACCAUCCUCUGUGUGCCUUCUUUAUCGUCUUGUUUGCUGCAACCAGCAACCUUACCAGGUGUGUCACCUUAUUUUCCAGCCUUUUAACAUGGAUGUAGUGAUAAUCCCUGAUUUCCUUGCCACAUACAUCCUCCAUAAACCUAAUGGCUGCCAUAGCAGCAUUGUCUUCUGCUUCAUCACAGUUCUUUGAGAUCACACCAGAUAUCGAGGUUGGAACAAGCAAACCAUCGAUCAAGUGCAACGAUGAAUUGAAAGUAACCGUCACACGAGACUCAUUGCCUAGAUAUGUCUUGUGAUGGUAAGUCGCAGGGGGCAACUUGAGAGCUUGCAGCAUGAGGGCAAAGAUGUGGGAAUAGGGAAUCAGUAUUACAUAAAAGUUCUCGAUGCUAGAUGUUUCUUAAAAUGUGAAAAUAUAUAUGACCAUGGUCGUUUGGCACAUACUGCUAAGUGCAUACAAGAAAAACUGAAUGUUUUUUUCGUCUGGCCAUUCCAGCAUCGACACAAACGCUCAAAUCAAUUCAACCUGUUGUUUCUUAUCUGCAGGGACUCACGGUCAAACAAGAAAGCUAUUCUCUGGCCACUGAUGUUGAGGCUACCUACACGAUGCAGGACCGUGUCAUCUACAACAAACAUGGUAACCAUAUUAUUGAUAUUUCAUCAUAACCAAUUUUUAUUAUUCCAUGAUCAUCUCUUUCCAACUAACUUGUACAUGCCAGUGUCUCUGCAAAAAGCACAGGCAACUACUUGACUACAUUGACCGUCACCUAACAGCGGAUUGGGUCCCAGAUUUCAAAGAGAAAGAAAUCCAUCUAAAGCCGGGACGCUACAUUGUUCGUGGUAAGGACUACAUAACAUUUCUUGGAUUUUAGAAUCGCGUUGUUAAACAUCCACUAUAGAUAUGUGUGGAGAUAGAAAGAGAGAUUAAUCUGCUUUCAGAAAAACAAAAAUAAACAUGGGAACUUAUUCUGCUUUAUAGUCUCGUGCCUAUAUUGAGCACACUAUGCCACUGUCGUAUCACAAUUUAAUAUUUCUCCACUGUAUUGAUAUCUUAUAUAGAUGCAUGUGUUAAACAUGGAUUACUACUGACUUUGCAUUAUCUACUCGACCUAAUUGUUGGGAUUAUUGUGUAGGUGAUCGCAACAUCCACUACUUUGAUGAGCUUAGCACCUACUGCCUUUAUGGAAAUAAAGUGAAAUUAAACAAUGAAAAUCUCAAGAAUCUGCGCAAGCUAAUUAAAGGCAGUAAAACACCUAACUGCUAUUAUGUGUGCCACAUGACAAAGACUUUUGCAACCCCUGGAAAAUUAAAUGGUGGGCAUCGAAAAUUUCUUUAGUUUAUUUGGAUCCAUCCUAUGCUUCCUGGAAAAAGAAUAGUGGGCAUCAAAAAUUUCUUUAGUUUAUUUGGAUCCAUCCUAUGUUGCAACCCCUGGUAAGCAUAGAUGGAUCCAAAUAAACUAAAGAAAUUUUCAAUGCCCACCAUUCUUUUUCCAGGGGUUGCAAAAGUCUUUGUCAUGUGACACACAUAAUAGCAGUUAGGUGUUUUACUGCCUUUAAUUAGCUUGCGCAGAUUCUUGAGAUUGUCAUUGUUUAAUUUCACUUUAUUCCUAUAAAGGCAGUAGGUGCUAAACUCAUCAAAGUAGUGGAUGUUACGAUCACCUACACAACAAUCCCAACAAUUAGGUCGAGUAGGUAAUGCAAAGUCAGUAGUAAUCCAUAUUUAGCACAUGCAUCUAUAUAAGAUAUCAAUACAAUGGAGAAAUAUUAAAUUGUGAUAUGACAAAGGCAUAGUGUGCUCAAUAUAGGCAUGAGUCUAUAAAGCAGAAUAAGUUCUCAUGUUUAUUUUUUUUAAAGCAGAUUAAUAUCUCUCUUUCUAUCUCCACACAUAUCUGCAGUGGAUGUUCAACUACGCGAUUCUAAAAUCCAAGAAGUGUUAUGUAGUCGUUACCACGAACAAUGUAGCGUCCCGGCUUUAGAUGGAUUUCUUUCUCUUUCAAAUCUGGGACCCAAUCCGCUGUUAGGGGCCGGUCAAUGUAGUCAAGUAGUUGUCUGUGCUUUUUGCAGAGGCAGUGGCCUAUACAAGUUAGUUGGAAAGAGAUGAUCAUGGAGUAAUAAAACUUGGUUAUGAUGAAAUAUCAGUAAUAUGGUUACCAUGUUUGUUGUAGAUGACAUGGUUCUGCAUCGUGUAGGCAGCCUCAACAUCAAUGGCCAGUGCAUAGCUUUCUUGUUUGACUGUGAGUCCGUGCAGAUAAGCAACAUCAGGUUGAAUUGAUUUGAGCAUUUGUGUCGAUGCUGGAAUGGCGAUAUGAAAAAAACAUUCAGUUUUUCUUGUAUGCACUUAGCAGUAUGUGCCAAACGACCAUGGUCAUACAUAGUUUCACAUUUUAAGAAGCAUCUAGCAUCGAGAGCUUGUAAGGCAUAAAUACUAAUCCAUUAUAUCUUAAAAUCAUAUGAGAAGGUACAAGCAACACGCAUACAGUGUAUUCAGAUAAUCACUUCGAUAUAGAAAGAGGGGUAGCUACUAUGGACAGGGCCAUAUGUCAGCACGUGCAACUGAAGCAAUUGAACAGGGCCCCAAAAAUUGAAGGGCCCCCGGCUGCAGGUAAUAAAGGUGUUAAACGGAGCAUUAAGUGAAGAAUUAUGAAAUAUCGCACCCCAAGGCAUCCUACUACUGCCAGUUCCCUCUCUCAAUGCAUUGCUACUGUUCCAAAAAAAAUCAAUUUCACAAGCGCCAGAUUAACUAAUUGACCCAUCAUUUCCUCCCCAUCUUGAUUCUUUUCCAAUUCUUCUCGGGAAUAAUGCUUCACGAUUUCCCCAAAAGAAAGGCAUUAGUGGCAGCAAACUGGUGUGGUCAUGGACACCAAUCUUCUCUAUAUUGGGGAGUUUUCCUCUCAAUUCUCAUGUGCUCUUGUUCAUCAUGUAGAACCUUGUGGAGAUUGGAGUCGCCCCUUGCACUGCUUUGUCGCUGACCUACCAAUGAAUCAUCGGAGCUUCAUUUGCAGUCUCGCAUGAUCUAAAACUACAGAGUCCUGGUAAGGUGGUGGCAGUUCUUACUGCUAGUUUGUUGUUCUUUCUAGAACUUGUGCAUCUGUGAGAACAAACUGCACAUUUUAAUCCGCUAUUUCAAACGUCAGGGCAUAAAUUUUGAUUCGCACAAGGCCUCUAAUUUUCUAAGUAUGACCCUAACUAUGGAACAAGCAUUUAUAAAAGGCUUACCUAACAGGACUAAUUUGCAUGGAUGCUCUCGCGAGUAUAGAAUAAAGAUCACAAACAAAAUGAAAAGCUAGAAUUAAAUACUUAAUUACAGCCUGCAGUACAUAUGUUUAUCAUCACAUAUAACUUUUCUCUCUAUCUAGCAAACGGAGAAGAGACGGACCUGUUAUAGCAAGUAGAGACGGAAAUAUACCUGUGGUCGAGGGACUCGGCGUCUGGAGCAUGAGGAGCCAUCGUGUGCCACAGGCAAAUGAGCUGGCUGAAGCACUUUACGGCCCUGAGCCCGUUGCGUGGCGGCGGAAUACAUGGGGGCUCCGAUCCGGCGACCACCGGAGCGCGGCUGCCUCACCAUGGAAGACUGGAGGCGUCGCUGCGGUCGGACUAAGCAGGGUGGCGGCGGAUCCAGGCGAGAGGAGAUAGGUUUUGCAGAGGAAGGAGAAGAGCGACCGGAUGUACUGGCAAGGGAGGUACUUACGCAGGCCAAGGGCUCUUUGGGCUGAUAACGGGCCAGGGGCUGGGUAAGGCGGACGCUACGCUGAUUUAACCUAUGUUUUUUUUAUUUCCUGUAAGCCGAUAUAGUUUACCUAGGAUAAUAAGGUAUUAUUUGUUGUGGUGAUAGAAAUCACAUUAGUUAAGUUUUCCUGAUUCGGAUUAUUCUUCAUUGUUUAUUGUCCUUUCAGACUGUUUAUAUUUUCUAAAUACAUUUAUAUGGCUAGAAUUUAUUUUUUUAAAAUGACAAUAACAUUUUUUUAAUUGCAGUAUUGGCAGACUUACAUUAAUAUUUGUAUAACAGAUGAAUGCUUUACUAAAAGCACAUGACCUAUAAGUAGUAUGUUUCUUUCCUUCGAAAUUUUAACACCCACCAACAGCAAGCCCUUUUUUGUCGGCAUCUUUUAUCGAAACACAUUAAAGUGUUAAAAAAUGCAUUGACAUUUUUUAAAACCAUUGGGAGGAAGAAUGAACGAACACGAAUGAACGAACACGAGUGUAAGCAAACUAUAUCUUCCCACGACCAUCUUCCUUGCCAAGCAUGCGUAAGGGAGCCCCUGCUCCGAGUGCGUCAAACACCGAGAGUGCCAGUGCGGAGCCCUAGUCGUUGCCGCUUGGCGCACUGGAGGCUACAAUGUGCCUCACCCUCGCCGCGCGCACGGGAGGCCACCAUGAGCCUUACCCUCGCCGCCGUCGCUUGGCGCAUAUGAGGCCGCCAUGAGCCUCGCCCUCACCGCUGUCACUCAGCACCAAACAAAGCAUGCCCAAAAAGCAGAGCAAGAACGCCAUCCAAGAGAAGAAGAACAGGAGCACCACUCACUCGAACUUGUUGGAUUCACCUGCAGGAUGACGAUGAACUCAGCCACCUUUGAGCAGCUAACAAAGAGACCCGAAUAUCGCCGGAGCGGCCUACUGUCGUCUCGUCUCCCCAUCGCCCGGCGUCCCAAGUCUAAGUCGCACGCGGACCCCGCACGCGGUUGGAUCCCUACUUCUAGUAUAUAUAAUGAUAGAGAUGGUUUUAUAAGGUUGGUUUGGACUUGGGAACUAGAAUGAAGGAGUAUUCCAUGGUCAUAGGGAAGGGAUGCACAUGGAUCAGUGAGGUGGCGCGAUCCAGACCGCACGAUGAAGGUCGUGCCAUGGAUCAGUGAGGUGGCACAAGUCAUGGCCGCAUGAUGAUGAUGAUGGCUGGUGCUCAUCCUUGCUAUUACCAAGAAAGAGAGCUCAUUUUUCUUAAUGAUGACUGACCUCAAAGAAGAUUACUUCUUUUCUCUCUUUAUCCUUUUGGCAAACUAACUUUUCUAAGUCAGUGAAGUAAUUCAAUUAUGUUCUGCUUUCUUUGAGAACGUCGAAAAUCAAUUCUUAUAAAGUCUGUAAUUUAUCUUUCUUAUGUUCAAGCCGUCCUUGGUUGAUGUUCAUGGCAUGGGCAGUCUCUUUUCUCUUAUUUCACAAGAAUAACAAGUUUCUCUUAUUUCACAAGAAUAACCAAGUGGCUGACAUGGUAGCUUUUACAAUCAAAGCAAAUGGAUCUGGUUACAUAGGCAUGGAUCCUCAAAACAAGGACAAACAAAUAUGCAUGUGAUCCUCAAACAAGUCCUCCUUUAUAUAGAUGCUCAGAGAAGUAGGCACAUUUGGUUUGGCUGCAUCUAUCAGCAAAAUUUCAUUGGCGGACAAUAAUUCUGACCGACCUAUAAAUGCAUACAUACAAUCAUCUCAUCAAGGAAGGAACAACAAGAUGAUUACAUGUAUGAUCCACAUGUCCACAACAACAUGUAAAUAGAAAGCAACAACAACUCUCCUAAAACAUCAAUCAUCUCAGCAAGGAAGGAACAACAACUCCCCAAGGAGGCGAGAAACAUUACAGACCAUCCCAGAUAGGCCUACGCCCAGCACUAUACACUAGGAAAACCAGGUUCAGUACUGCAGCUUCGCGUCCUCAAUGAGCCUUUCGGCACCAACGGGGUCCAGAAUACGUCCGCCGCCUUCUUCAUGUAGAGGCCCAGGUUGAUGAUGACCAACUUCGCCCUCUGAAACCUACAUGUACAGAUUAACCAUGCCAUCAAUGUCCAUCCAGCAACGACGCGCUAGGGAAGACUUAAUCAUCAACAUUAUAUCACACAGACUGAACCAGUAAUAGCACAAUCAUUAUACCGCCGCCACGCCCCCUCUUGUUACGGAGGAAGAGCAAACCAGAGUACAACAAUAGUGUGUCCAUACACAGAAAAGAGGAAUCCCAAGAACAUGCUCUCCUGCCAUCCACACAUGCAUUAAAAAGAAACCCCGGAUUCAUUUAGUUAAGCGUCCAUGAUUGGCAGGAACAGAAAGUGCAGGUAAUAGCACUCAAAAGUAGGAGCAAAAUCAAACCUCCUCCUGGAGCCGAAGAUUUGGAGGUGCUGGUGUAGAGUAGGCCAUCAAACCUCCUCCAUGGGUGUGUUCUCCUGCCGCAGAGAGGAUGAUCAUCUGCAGGGGAGAGGGAGCAAUAAGGUCAGGAUCAUCAUCUGCGUGCAUGAGGAAACCACAUGCCAAAUCAAACAGAGAGGAAUAUAAAACAGUGUAGGCGAUCCUCGUAUCAACCAAACCAGGAUAUAAAACAAAAGCUAUGCUCUAUGGAAGAGAAGAUCCUUCAUCAUCUAAAAAUCAAAUACGCAUUGUCUUGUCUAAAAGAACAAGCGUUAUCAUUCUAACAAGCAGGUCUACAAAAAAAGCAUUAUUGCCACAGGAAAUGAACUACACAAUAGAUUUACAUUCCAUUUCUAGAUACAGAAGGCCUAAGAAAUCAAACUACCUACAGUAACAGCACCAGCCAAACACACUACAGCAUAAACUACCUACGAACUAGUUACAGCUAGCACAAUCAUCUCUAGAAACAGAAGUUAAACCUUGUUGAUUCAUGACACCCACAAGCAGCAAAUGAAUGAACUUUCAAUCUAGAACACACAAAUAAAACCAUCUCUUAGAAACUUGAGACUAAAGAUCUCCCCCUCUGUCUCCCCUCUCUUUUGACAGGGAGGAAGAGCAAACCAAAGUACAACGACAGUGCAACAUCCGGCAUCCAAACACGGAAAAGAGGAAUCCCAAUAGCCAUGGCAGAGCAUGAGAGACUACACAAGUCAACAACUAAAUCGUGAACUGUAAUUGUUAUUUUUAUAUGUAGCAAACAAGAUUGGUUUUUCUUGGUUCAGAAGUUGAAAUGUGUGUGACUCAGUGGCUUACCCCUCUGUUGACAAGUUGAGAGCAGAUUUCACAUGGACCCCAAGAACUUGCUCUCCUGCUACCCACACACAUGCAUCAAAAAGGAAACCCAGGUUCAUUCAGUCAAGAGUCCAUGAGUGGCAGCGACAGAAAGUGCAGUUAAUAGCACUGUAGAGUAGGAGCAAAACCGGACCUCCUUCUGGAGCUGAAGAUCUGGAUGCUGUUGCUCCUGGUCUGCAAUGAGGUUGUCGCCGCUGCGUCUCAGGUUCUCGAACACAUCCUCCGGGGGUGUGUUCUCCUGCGGCAGAGGAUUGUCAUCUACAGAGGAAGGGAGCAACACGAACAACAGAGCAACAAGGGCAGGAUCUGAAGGAAAUAUGCCCUAGAGGCAAUAAUAAAGUUAUUAUUUAUUUCCUUAUUUCAUGAUAAAUGUUUAUUAUUCAUGCUAGAAUUGUAUUAACCAGAAACAUGAUACAUGUGUGAAUACAUAGACAAACAUAUAGUCACUAGUAUGCCUCUACUUGACUAGCUCAUUAAUCAAAUAUGGUUAUGUUUCCUAACCAUAGACAUGUGUUGUCAUUUGAUUAAUGGGAUCAUAUCAUUAGGAGAAUGAUGUGAUUGACAUGACCCAUUCCGUUAGCCUAGCACUUGAUCAUUUAGUAUGUUUCUAUUGCUUUCUUCAUAACUUAUACAAAGUUCCUGCAACUAUGAAAUUGCGCAACUCCCGUUUACCGGAAGAACACUUUGUGUGCUACCAAACGUCACAACGUAACUGGAUGAUUAUAAAGGUGCUCUACAGGUGUUUCCGAAGGUACAUGUUGGGUUGGCAUAAUUCGAGAUUAGGUUUUGUCACUCCGAUUGUCGGAGAGGUAUCUCUGGGCCCUCUCGGUAAUACUCAUCACCUAAGCCUUGCAAGCAUUGUAACUAAUGAGUUAGUUAUAAGAUGAUGUGUUACAGAACGAGUAAAGAGACUUGCCGGUAACGAGAUUGAACUAGGUAUUGGAAACCGACGAUCGAAUCUCGGGCAAGUAACAUACCGAUGACAAAGGGAACAAAGUAUGUUGUUAUGCGGUUUGACCGAUAAAGAUCUUCGUAGAAUAUGUAGGAGCCAAUAUGGGCAUCCAGGUUCCGCUAUUGGUUAUUGACCAAGAAUAGUUCUAGGUCAUGUCUACAUAGUUCUCGAACCCGUAGGGUCCGCACGCUUAAGGUUUCGAUGACAGUUAUAUUAUGAGUUUUGAUGUACCGAAGGAGUUCGGAGUCCCGGAUGAGAUCGGGGACAUGACGAGGAGUCUCGAAAUGGUCGAGACGUAAAGAUCGAUAUAUUGGACGACUAUAUUCGGAGUUCGGAAAGGUUUCGAGUGAUUCGGGUAUUUUUCGGAGUACCGGAGAGUUACGGGAAUUCGCCGGGAGUAUAUGGGCCUUAUUGGGCCAUACGGGAAUUGAGGAGAGAGGUCGAAAGGAAGGAGGCGCGCAGCCCCCCUCUGGUCCGAAUUGGACAAAGGGUGCAGCCCCUCUUUCCUUCUUCCUCUCCCCCUCUUUCCUUCUCUCCUACUCCAACAAGGAAGGAGGGAGUCCUACUCCCGGUGGGAGUAGGACUCCCCUUGGCGCGCCCCUACUAGGCCGGCCGCCCCUCCCCCCUUGCUCCUUUAUAUACGGGGGCACGGGGGCACCUCUAGGCACAACAACACAAGUUGAUCUACGGAUCGUUCCUUAGCCGUGUGCGGUGCCCCCCUCCACCAUAUUCCACCUCGGUCAUAUCGUCGCGGAGUUUAGGUGAAGCCCUGCGCCGGUAGAGCAUCAUCAUCGUCACCACGCCGUCGUGCUGACGGAACUCAUCCCCGAAGCUUUGCUGGAUCGGAGCCCGGGGAUCGUCAUCGAGCUGAACGUGUGCUGAACUCGGAGGUACCGUACGUUCGGUACUUGGAUCGGUCGGAUCGUGAAGACGUACGACUACAUCAACCGCGUUGUCAUAACGCUUCCGCUUACGGUCUACGAGGGUACGUGGACAACACUCUCCCCUCUCAUUGCUAUGCCAUCACCAUGAUCUUGCGUGUACGCAGAAUUUUUUUUGAAAUUACUACGUUCUCCAACAGGAUCAUCAUCUGCCUGUGUGUCGCCUGCCGAAUCAAACAAAGAGGAAUAUUAAAUAGUGUAAGUGAUCCUCGUAUCAACCAAACCAGAAUAUAAAGCAGAAUCCAAGCUCUGUGGAAGAGACGAUCCCUCAUCAUCUAAGAAUCAAACACACAUUGUCUUGUCUAAAAAACCAAAUACACGAUAUCAUUCCAACAAGCAGGCCUACAAAAAAGCAUUAAAGCCACUGGAAAGGAACUACAAAAUAGAUUUACAUUCCGUUUUAAUUAGAGACCUAAUUGGAUAUGGUCAUAUGAAAGAAGAAAACUACAAGAACGUGUUAUCAUUCAAUAAGACAUGGAAAUCCAAAGUGACUUCUGGAAAUAAAUUCUCAUACAAAUCCAUGCAUUGUGCCAUGAUGGGUUUUUUGUAGGGGAGGGGCACCGUCAGAAAUGUGGGGGUCCGGACAAGAAAAGGAAAGGAGACAUGCAAUUGACAAAUCUAUUUGUUUCAAAAGGAGUAAACAGGUACAUUUUUUUACAGGAAUUGCAACUCAUAGGUGCCACAAUGUGUCUAGAAUAAUGAUCAAAACUGACAUGUUUGUCAAGUUCUAAAGGUAUUAUCCCACUUAUAUUGUUGAUGUACAACUACUUACGCUAAGAUGGAUUAGUGAAUCCAAGUUCAGGGCCCAACAUGGAUGGAUUAGUCUGUCCAAAUUAAGCCCCUGGUAAGCUUGAACUACUUACUAACACGCAAAACAACCAUGCCUAGGUAAAAAGGACUAUGUGUCCCUUUGGAUUCUGGCCCUGGUAGCCCUGCCAAUCACCGACUAGCCAAAAUUCUGGCACAGGAUUUCGAUGGGCAUCAGGCGAGCCAAAAAAUGGGAAACCAUCCAGAUAGAUGCCAUUGCUGCGGUUGAAAGGAUCGAUAUGGUUGACUAGAGGGAGGGGUGAAUAGGCAACUAACACUUUUUAGACUUUUCUUUAACAAUUUAAACCUUGCAAUGAAAUAGGUUGUCUAGAUGUGCAACUACGUGGACAACCUAUAUGAUGCAAAGACAAUAAGCACACAAGCAAGCAAUGGAUAUAGCACAAGUAAGCUUGCAAAAGUAAAGGGACAAGAUAACCAAGAGUGGAGCCGGUGGAGAUGAGGAUGUGUUACCGAAAUUCCUUCCUUUUAAGGGGAAGUACGUCUUCGUUAGAGCGGUGUGGAGGCACAAUGCUCCCCAAGAAGCCACUAGGGCCACCGUAAUCUCCUCACGCCCUCACACAAUGUGAGAUGCCGUGAUUCCACUAUUGGAGCCCUUGAAGGCGGCAACCGAACCUUUAUAAACAAGAUUGGGGCAAUCUCCACAACACUUGGAGGCUCCCAACAAUACCGCGAAGCUUCACCACAAUAGAGUAUGGCUUCGAGGUGACCUCAACCGUCUAGGGUGCUCAACACCCAAGAGUAACAAGAUCCGCUAGGGAUAAGUGGGGGGAAUCAAAUAUCCUGUGGUGGAAGUGUAGAUCGGGCACUUGUCACCCAAUCCCGAGCAAAUCAACAAGUUUGAUUGGCUAGGGAGAGAGAUCGAGUGAAAAUGGAGCUUGGAGCAACAAUGGAGCUUAGAGGUGGAAGAGGUAGUCAACUAGAGGUAGAAGACACCCCUUAUAUAGUCGUGGAAAGAAUCCAACCGUUAUCCACAUGUUCAGCCCGCGACACACGGUACUACCGCUCCAGGGGCGCGGUACUACCGCGAAGCUGUGCGGUACUACCGUGGCUGGCCAUAGUACUACCGCGACAGCAGCACAGGCCGGAACUAGCCUGACAAGGGGGCAGUACUACCACUUGCGCGGUACUACCGCACCCACUUGCGGUACUACCGCUAGGCAGGAAAGUCACGGCCUGGGAAGGGCGCGGAUGAAAUAAAUUACAUCCGUGCCUACUUCCGCUGAAACUGAGGUGGUACAAAAAUCCGAUGCGGUACUACCGCUCGCGAGGCGCGGUACUACCGUGCGGGCGCGGAUGUAAAAAAUUACAUCCGCGCCUACUACCGCGACACUGCGGUACUAGGUAGGAGGGCCACGGUACUACGACUCCUAGGGAGCGGUACUACCGUGGACCCCCACAGUACUACCGCGCUGGACGAGCGGUACUACAAUGGAGGGUGCGGAUGUAAAAAAUUACAUCCGCCCCUACUACCGCACCGGAGCGGCACAAGGCCUGGGAGCCGCGGUACUACCGCUCCAGAUGAGCGGUACUACCGCGUGUACAAUAGUAGUCGUCAGAUUUCCGCACAACCAAGAUAACAAAGGGAAGCUCCAAAAUGCAGGGAAAGGAGGAACAAGUGUACGUGUUGAUUCCACCCAAACAUUUCCGACGCGGACCCCCUCUUAAUAGUACGGCUCUCCUACGACUCAAAUCCACCAAAGAGAAACGUAGAACAACGUCGACUUCAAUAGUCUCCGAGGGGCACCGAAUCGUCUCAUGUCUAGAGAUGAAGUAUCUGAGAAACUCAAGGCACACGAUUAGUCCGCAAAUGCAUUGUCAUCAAUCACCAAAACACCUGAGGGAUAAAAUAUGCCCUUACAAUCUCCCCCUUUUUGGUGGAUUGAUGACAACACGGGAUUUGCAUAUAGAUAAGAUAAUUUAGAGCAGGGGCAAACCCCACCGCUCUAAAAUAUAGACGGGCUCCCCCUAGAUGUGUGCACUUUAGAUGAAUGCUUUGGACUGCAUAGCACACAGACUAGGAUCAACACUCCCCCUAUAUUUUAGAGACCAAGGCAUGAUAAUAAGCAUAGCAUAGCAUAAAGAUAACACAAUAUAACACAAGCUCGCUAGGAUAGAUAGAGUGCAUAUGUCUUACACCAUACGAAGUAAAGCUAUCGAGGUUCAAACGAGAAAGUAGCAAAUAGUUCAAACGAGAAAGCAGCAAACACACGAUACACUCGCAAAUCCCUACACUCUCUCCCCCUUUGGCAUCGAGACGCCAAAAAAGCAGAGAGGACACCUACACACAAGAGGUGGCUCAAGCAGAGAACUCGUCCCAAGCCUCUCUGUCGGUCUCCUCGGCAGCAGGGAUGGUCUCCUCGACAUCCUCCUCAGACUCAAUCCACCUGUAGCCCUGCUUCUCCAUCCACUCGGCCUCUGGAGUGAUGUGCUCCUCAGACCUGCCAAACACUGCCUCACCAUAGAGCUGCAAGAUCUUGUUGUCCCGGCGACGACUCUCCUUGGACGCCACGUGAGUCCUGUACUGCCCCUUGGCUUGCAUGCAGAAAAGAGUCUUCAUCUUGUCCUUCAGCUUCUUGGCCCAUGAUGGCAUAGUGGUACUCUGGGAAGGCCUAGCAGCAUGGCCCUCAGCAACAUCCUCGACGCCAGCAUCCUCCUCAUCAACAGCAGCCCUAGCAGCAGUCGCCUCGGCACGAGUAGUGGUGUUGGCCCAGUUGGAUUUGAUACGCAGGCAGAUGGGCUCAUGGCGAACCCAGUCUGCAGCAAGAAACUCCUCAUCAGGGAACAUCUUCUCCCAAGUCUUCGAAAUCAGCAGAAACAGAUAGGGCCCAUAGAUAGGCACCUUGCGGUUGAGCACUGCAAACCGGAGCUCACACCACAUGAUGUGUGAGACAUCAAGUGGCUGAGACUGAGACGAACGAGCCUCCUCGCAGAUGAGCAUCAUGUCCACCAUAUAGGCAUGAACCUUGUCUUCGUCACCGAUGCGAGGGAACAAGGAGUUGUGGAAGAUGCGAUACAUGAUAUCCAGAAAAGGGUUGAGUACUAGAGUUGUCUUGCCAUUUGCGAGCGCCUUCUCAACCAUGAAUGGUGCAAGCCUGUCCUUGUUGGCAGAGUCAGCAUUGGCAUGGGGGCGAACACCCACUGGAGAGUUGAGCCCAUCAUCAGGAACCUGGAGAAUAUCCAUGAACUCCUUCCAGGUAGUAGACAGCUUACGGCCAUUGGUCAUCCAGGUCAUCCUCCGUUCCUCAUCGGAGUGAAAGUAGACUGAGGCAAAGAACUGAUAGAUAAGCUCAGGGUCAUAGUCGAGGUGGAAGGUUAACACAUGCUCAAUGCCAAACUGCUCCACCAAGUCCAGAGCCUCUCCAAAGUAGUCACGGAACUUGUCCUUCCUCAUGUGAUGCAUAUCAAUCCACUUCACCUCCACAUAGGUAUUCUGCUUGUUCUUGAUGACAUCCAGAUAGAUGUUGGUCUGUUGCUUGUUCCAGAACAGCUCACAGCCUCUGACAGUGGAACGCGGGUGCACAUAAGGGUGAUGCUGCCUGAGACGGACAUAAUCAGCUUGGGCUAUCUCAUCCAUGCCCUUAGUGGGCUCCUUGUGCUUGCUGCUGAGUGCUUGACAUUGCGCUUGGAGGCAGACGAGCCCUCUGGUACAUCACCUGGGUUGCGCAGACGUUUGGAACUAGUGUCACGACUGGGGUUGGACCGGCGAGAGCCACCACCUGAGACACACACGCAAAACACCAAAGACGCAAAAGGAUCAAUGCAAAGGCCACGAAAAAGCACAAGAAACACAUAGAAGGCAUACGAGAAAGUUGGCAUGCGAUAGAUGUGAGCCACGGUAGAACUGCCACUGCCUGCGGUACUAAAAUAUUAGUACUGCUCCAAAAGUGGUAGUACCGUGCGAGGUCACGGUAGUACCGUGGUUGGAGCGGAAGUAAAAUUUUAGUACCGCACAGAGCGCGGUAGUACCGCUCCCGAAGGGCGGUAGUACCGUGCAAGCGAUAGUACCGCGCCAGACGGGCGGUAGUACCGCGUCGCAUCAGAUCCAACCGGCGGUUUGAAUCUGAAAAGAACCGCGAAACAAUGGCGGUGCUACGGUGAUCCGAUCUAGCGCAAGACAACAAUACAAGUAUAAAUCCUAUGCAAUACCACGCUCCUUCAUCCUACUCUUGCAGAGAUUAAGCCUAAGAAUCUCAAGAACACACAAGCCUCCCCCAAAACCUAGAAACACUAAACACAAUCAACACGGAGAGGGAGUUGGGGAAAAACCUUGGUCCAUAGCAAGAACACGUGGUGGGGAACGAUCCCACCGGUCGGAAUCACGGGAGGGCAGCCGGUGGAGGAGAUCCAGCGACGAGCGCCGGCUCCGUUCUUGAGCGAGGGAGAGAAGGAGGCGACGUGGAGAGAGAGGACAGCGAAUGGGUAUGGGGAGUUAAAACUCCCCCUGCCCGUCCUUAUCCCCACGCGCUCGAAAUGGCACGGUAGUACCGCGUAUCAUUGCGGUAGUACCGCUCGAGCGGAAGUACCGCGCCGAGGCGGCAGUACCGCUCAACCAGGCGGCAGUAAAAAAUUACUUCCGUGUGGUGAUGGUAGUACCGUGCUCCCGCAAGCGGUAGUACCGUGGCUGACUGCGGUAGUACCGUAGCUGGCCGCGGUAGUACCGUGAGCUCAAGUCACCGCAAGUUUCAACACGAGAAGAAAAAGCCUUUGCACUGAAACUUUUCACACAAAAGAAACCACAAGAACACGCACAAACCAGAGGCAAAAAGACAACAAGAAACCACCAAGCGACAAAGCCUCUCAAGGAGAGAGGGCGGUGGCCGAAGCCACCUAUGUUUGAGUUGGAUGGUAUGGCACCGCGAAGAAUUAUCCUUGGGCCCAUGACCAAAACUCGUCUUUGAAGCACAAGUACCAUUAAAAAUGGCUAAUGUGAAAGAGGUGAUCGAUUUAUGCAUAAUGGGGGGAGGGAGAGUUCAUUGAGAGAACAACACUCCCCCUAUGUCCAUGCCUACACCUAAACUAGACAACACAUUGAGUGUGGUGGGGGGUGUACGGGUUCAAGUCACAUUGCUCAAAUCAAUGAUAUUUAGCUCAUGCCUUAACUCGCGAAAUCUUGCUUCAUCCAAAGGCUUCGUGAAAAUAUCUGCAAGGUUAUCAUGAGUGUUGACAUACUUGAGCUCGAUCUCCCCUCGCCUAAUGUGAUCCCGGAUGAAGUGAUACCGAAUCUCAAUGUGCUUCGUCUUGAAGUGUUGUACCAGGUUGAGAGAAAUCUUGAUGGCACUUUCAUUAUCACACCAAAGAGGCACUUUGUCACAAAUGACACCAUACUCCUUUAAAGUUUGCCUCAUCCAUAGGAGUUGAGCACAACAACUACCGGCCGCCACAUACUCCGCUUCGGUGGACGAGAGAGACACACAACUUUGCUUCUUGGAAGACCAACUUACCAUAGAGCAACCAAGAAAUUGGCACCCUCCGAAAGUGGACUUCCUAUCCACUUUGUCCCCCGCCCAAUCGGAAUCCGUGAAACCUUUAAGCUUGAAAUUUGCUCCUCUUGGGUACCAUAAGCCAAAGUUUGGGGUAUGAGCCAAAUAUCGAAAGAUUCUCUUGACCGCCACAUAGUGACUUUCCUUUGGUGCGGCUUGAAACUGUGCACACAUCCCCACACUCAACAUGAUAUCCGGUCUAGAUGCACAAAGGUAAAGCAAGGAGCCAAUCAUGGAGCGAUAUACCUUUUGAUCCACCGCUUUACCAUUGGGAUCGAUGUCAAGUUGGCACUUGGUAGGCAUUGGUGUAGAAGCCGGCUUGACAUCACUUAGCUUGAAUCUUUUAAGCAUGUCUUGAGUGUAUUUGGCUUGGUUGAUGAAGGUUCCUUCUCUUCUUUGUUUGAUGUCAAAGCCAAGGAAGAACUUCAACUCUCCCAUCGAAGACAUCUUGAACUUGGAGGUCAUGAGAGCGGCAAAUUCCUCAUUGAAAGCUUUGUUAGGAGAACCAAAGAUAAUAUCAUCAACAUAUAGUUGGCAUACAAACAACUCCCCUUUGACCUUCUUAGUAAAAAGAGUGGGAUCGAUUUGUCCUACUUCAAAUCCACGAUCUUGUAACAACUCGGUAAGGUGGUCGUACCACGCACGUGGGGCUUGUUUAAGGCCAUAGAGUGCCUUAUCAAGUUGAUACACAUGAUCCGGGAAGUAGGGGUCCUCGAACCCGGGGGGUUGCUUGACAUAAACCAACUCAUUAAUGGGACCAAUAAGAAAAGCACUUUUCACAUCCAUUUGUUGCAACUUAAAGUUGUGAUGGGAAGCAUAAGCAAUCAACAAACGAAUGGAUUCAAGACGAGCAACGGGAGCAAAGGUUUCACCGUAGUCGAUACCCUCGACUUGGGAGUAGCCUUGCGCUACCAAUCUUGCCUUGUUGCGAAUGAUGUUCCCAUGAGCAUCUUGCUUGUUCUUGAAGAUCCACUUUGUUCCAAUGACGUUGUGGUUCCCCGAAGGUCUUGGCACCAAUCUCCACACCUUGUUGUAUUCGAAGUUGUUGAGUUCUUCAUGCAUGGCAUUGAGCCAAUCCGAGUCUUCGAGCGCCUCAUAGACCUUUUGAGGUUCAACACAAGAGACAAACGCAUGAUGUUCACAAUAGUUAGCUAAUUGUCUACGAGUGCUUACCCCCUUUCUUAGGCUUCCAACCACGUUUUCCAUGAGAUGGCCUUGUGUGGUGAGUUUGGAAGCUAUCUUCGCGGCACGGCGCUCUAAUUCCUCCUCGGGUGUGGAAGGAGGAAGGUUAACUUGAUCAUCUUGAGCGUCGUCUUGAGCUUGCUCAUGAUCUUGAACUUGCUCGAGGGGGAGAACUUGACCUUGGGCAUCAUUUAGAGGUUCACCACCAUCUUGAGGUUGAUCUUGCACUUGGUCUUGUUCAUGAGGGUGAGGGCCUUCACUUUGUUCUUCGGAAGCGUGUGGGUCUUGGGGAGGUGAUGGCUCCACUUGAGUGGAGCAUUGUCCUUUUUAUUCGGCCACAAGGGGUUCCUCAAUGGGUAGGAUAUAACCAAUACCCAUUAUUCUUAUGGCUUGGGGAGGAAUUUCAUCACCUACAUCACAAGUACCACUUUGCUCCACUUGGGAGCCGUUAUUUUCAUCAAACUCUACGUUACACGUCUCCUCAAUGAGUCCGUUGGACUUGUUGAGAACACGGUAAGCAUGAGAGUUUGUAGCAUAACCAACAAAUAUGCCCUCAUGAGCUCUAGCUUCGAAUUUAGACAAGCGAACACCUUUCUUGAGAAUGAAACACUUACACCCAAACACCCGGAAGUACUUGAGAUUGGGCUUGUUCCCGGUGAGUAUCUCAUACGGAGUCUUGUUCAAGCCUUUGCGAAGAUAGAGCCGAUUGGAUGCAUGACAAGCUGUGUUGAUGGCUUCGGCCCAGAAGUUGUAUGGAGACUUGAACUCCGCCAUCAUGGUCCUUGCCGCAUCCAUCAACGUCCGGUUCUUCCUCUCCGCAACACCAUUUUGUUGAGGGGUAUAUGGUGCAGAAUAUUGAUGCUUGAUCCCUUCAUCACUAAGAAACUCAUCCAAGGUGUAGUUCUUGAACUCGGUGCCGUUGUCACUUCUUAUUGUCAAGAUCUUUGCAUUGUGUUCACGUUGAGCUUCAUUUGCAAAGUCCAUGAUGGUUUGUUGAGUCUCACUCUUCCUCUUGAAGAAGUAUACCCAAGUGUAUCUUGAAUAAUCAUCCACAAUCACCAAGCAAUACUUUCUACCCCCAAGACUAUCAAAGGAUGGGGGCCCAAAGAGGUCCAUGUGGAGGAGCUCCAAGGGUCUCUUCGAGUAGAUGAUAGUCGUGGGAGGGUGAGCCGUCUCAUGAAGCUUUCCUUCGAUACAAGCACUGCAAACACGAUCUUUGGCAAAACUAACAUUCGUUAGUCCAUGAACAUGGUCCCCCUUGAGAAGACUUUGCAAAGAUCUCAUAUUGACGUGGGCUAAACGGCGAUGCCAAAGCCAUCCCACAUCAACUUUAGCCAUUAGGCAUGUCGCGGUCUUAGUGGGUUGCUCCGAGAAGUUAACCACAUAGAGACCGUUCUCGACAUGCCCAACAAAGGCUACUUUAAGAGUCUUGCUCCACAAGAGGGCCACGGUAUCAAUAUCAAAGAAGGUGGCAAAACCCAUGAGUGCGAGUUGACGAAUGGAAAGUAAAUUGAACACAAGGGACUCAACAAGCAUGACUUUCUCGAUCGUUAGAUCAUGAGAAAUGACAACCUUGCCAAGACCCAAUACCUUAGAAUGUGAGGCAUCACCCCAUUCGACAUUGGUGGGCAUAGAUGGGAUCUUGUGCAUGUCCACGACCAAGUCCUUGCUCCCGGUCAUAUGAUUUGUUGCUCCACUAUCGAGCAACCAUGAUCCCCCACCGGAAGCAAACACCUUGUUGGUGGCCUUAGCCAUGAGGCACUUGGCGGUGAUGUUCUCGAUAGGUGCAUCGAAGAGAGACACCCGAGGAGUUGUGACAAUGGCAACGGAUGCCAUGGCCAUUGUUUCACCAUCUUCAUCAUCAUCGUCAUCCUCACGGUAUUCUUCUUGAACCACCAACCCGCGAGGAGUCUUCCUGGUGAAGUUGUUCUUGUUGGGGAAGGACUUGGCUUUGUCUUUUCGAACGAACUUGCCACCAUUGUCUUCCUGUUUCUCGUAUGGACAAUCCGGAACGAAAUGGCUAACAUUGCCACAGUUGAAACAAGUUCUAACUCGUUGCUUCCCCUUGAAGCCACUUGAGUUGUUCUUGUUGAAGUUGGGUCUUGUAGUCUUCUUACUCCAAAACUGUCUUGAGGCAAGAGCCAUGUGCUCAUGAUAAUCAUACUUCGUGUCCUCGGGGUUGCUCUCCUCAUCUUCCUCUUCUUCUUCUUCUUCUUCCACACUAACCUUGGCCUUCAAGGCAAGAUUGGGCUUAUUUGCCCUUUGGGAACGGAGCACCGCAUUGUCGGCGGUCUUGUCCAAGAUGCUCAUUGCAACAAACUCAUCCAACACUUCACUAGAGGUCAUGGAGUGGAAGUCCGGUCUUUGGCGAAUGACGGAGGACAUGGCCUUGUUGUAGGGCAUCAUGGCCUUGAGGAACUUGCGCUUGAUCCAGUUGUCAUCCGUGUCCUUGCUUCCAUGAUCUCGGAGUGCGACCGCGAGUUUGGUCACUCUUCGAAAGAGCUCAGGAGGUUCUUCAUCCUCUUUCAUAGCAAACUCAUCGGCCUCAUCUUGCACCACUUCAUAGUUGGAGCGUUGAAUGCUAGCACUUCCUCGAUAGAGACGCUCGACACAUUUCCAUGCUUCUUUAGCCAUGGCAUGAGGUCGAAGAUGAGGGAGAUCUUCGGGAAGGAUUGCAUCUUGGAUGAUGAAGAGAGCACUUUCAUUGAAUUGAUUGUCCACUUCUUCUCAAGGAGUGAAGUUGCUUGGAUCAUGAGGAUAGAAACCUUCUUCAAUAAUUCUCCAAAGGUUAGUGUUCACAUGUUUUAAGUGACGCUUGAAGCGAUAGAGCGAAGCAUCAAAAUCUUCAUUUUUCACAUAUUUAGGAGGAGGACCGGCAUGAUUCAAAUGAGUAGAGGGGAUCGGUCCUCUAUACACCGGGGGUUCCACAUUGGCAAAGAUGCCGGUGCCAUUUCUACCACUAGUAGACGGACUCUUUUCACUAUUAGCUUCCCCCUUGUCGGGGUUAGCAUCCAUCACCUUAUUAAUGGGAUCACCCACUUUCAUUGGCGAGGUAGAUAGUUUGAGUCCCUCUAGGAAUUCAGAAAACAUGCUUUUAACCUCGGCCAUCAUGGAGGUUUUCAAUGUGUCUAAAGCCACAUUAAAUUCCUCACGAGAGACCGAGGUUCCCCCUUCGGCCGAAGACGAGACGGGAUUCACACCGGAGUGCUCCUCCGCACCGUCGUUCUUGUCAACCAUACUCUUCGGACGGCAAAGUCCUUAAUAAAGAGACGAGGCUCUGAUACCAAUUGAAAGGAUCGAUAUGGUUGACUAGAGGGAGGGGUGAAUAGGCAACUAACACUUUUUAGACUUUUCUUUAACAAUUUAAACCUUGCAAUGAAAUAGGUUGUCUAGAUGUGCAACUACGUGGACAACCUAUAUGAUGCAAAGACAAUAAGCACACAAGUAAGCAAUGGAUAUAGCACAAGUAAGUUUGCAAAAGUAAAGGGACAAGAUAACCAAGAGUGGAGCCGGUGGAGACGAAGAUGUGUUACCGAAGUUCCUUCCUUUUAAGGGGAAGUACGUCUCCGUUAGAGCGGUGUGGAGGAACAAUGCUCCCCAAGAAGCCACUAGGGCCACCGUAAUCUCCUCACGCCCUCACACAAUGCGAGAUGCCGUGAUUCCACUAUUGGAGCCCUUGAAGGCGGCAAUCGGACCUUUAUAAACAAGAUUGGGGCAAUCUCCACAACACUUGGAGGCUCCCAACAAUACCGUGAAGCUUCACCACAAUGGAGUAUGGCUUCGAGGUGACCUCAACCGUCUAGGGUGCUCAACACCCAAGAGUAACAAGAUCCGCUAGGGAUAAGUGGGGGGAAUCAAAUAUCCUGUGGUGGAAGUGUAGAUCGGGCACUUGUCACCCAAUCCCGAGCAAAUCAACAAGUUUGAUUGGCUAGGGAGAAAGAUCGAGUGAAAAUGGAGCUUGGAGCAACAAUGGAGCUUAGAGGUGGAAGAGGUAGUCAACUAGAGGUAGAAGACACCCCUUAUAUAGUCGUGGAAAGAAUCCAACCGUUAUCCACAUGUUCAGCCCGCGACACACGGUACUACCGCUCUAGGGGCGCGGUACUACCGCGAAGCUGUGCGGUACUACCGUGGCUGACCAUAGUACUACCGCGACAGCAGCACAGGCCGGAACUAGCCUGACAAGGGGGCAGUACUACCACUUGCGCGGUACUACCGCACCCACUUGCGGUACAACCGCUAGGCAGGAAAGUCACGGCCUAGGAAGGGCGCGGAUGAAAUAAAUUACAUCCGUGCCUACUUCCGCUGAAACUGAGGUGGUACAAAAAUCCGAUGCGGUACUACCGCUCGCGAGGCGCGGUACUACCGUGCGGGCGCGGAUGUAAAACAUUACAUCCGCGCCUACUACCGCGACACUGCGGUACUAGGUAGGAGGGUCACGGUACUACGACUCCUAGGGAGCGGUACUACCGUGGGGUCCCGCGGUACUACCGCGCUGGACGAGCGGUACUACCAUGGAGGGCACGGAUGUAAAAAAUUACAUCCGCCCCUACUACCGCACCGGAGCGGCACAAGGCCUGGGAGCCGCGGUACUACCGCUCCAGAUGAGCGGUACUACCGUGACACACAGCGGUACUACUGCGUGUACUUGCGGUACUACCGCAAGUACAGCAAUAGUCGUCAGAUUCCCGCACAACCAAGAUAACAAAGGGAAGCUCCAAAAUGCAGGGAAAGGAGGAACAAGUGUACGUGUUGAUUCCACCCAAACAUUUCCAACGCGGACCCCCUCUUAAUAGUAUGGCUCUCCUACGACUCAAAUCCACCAAAAAGAAACGUAGAACAACGCCGACUUCAAUAGUCUUCGAGAGGCACCGAAUCGUCUCAUGCCUAGAGAUGAAGUAUCUGAGAAACUCAAGGCACACGAUUAGUCCGCAAAUGCAUUGUCAUCAAUCACGAAAACACCUGAGGGAUAAAAUAUGCCCUUACAGCGGUCAACGCCAAAUAUUUGGCCAAGCGGAUCGGGGGUGCGAUCCAAACAACCCCUAUAAAUCAAAUAUCGUCUAGACAAAACAACAAGUUCCAGUACCAGAAUUCAUCACCAAACUCUAAAGAUCAAGAUCUCAAACCAAGUGUGGUGUCAUGGUCUUCAUUCUAGAAAUACAUGUAACAGCCAAGUGAGCAAUCAAAUCAUCGAGAACCAUCUUUUUGGUUCAUAACCAUCAAAUUCGUGUAAACAGUCUAGAGGAGUGGCUCAUCUAAUUAAAAUCUCACUCUAACAACAAUUUGACCUUAAACAGAAGUAAAGGCAUCAUGCGUACCCUAAAUAGAACAGAUAUUUACUCCUUGUAAACUGUGAGUAAUGAUCAAGAUAUACAAGCCCUAGAGACCAAGGAUAUAACAGCAGAAAGUCAUGCUUAAUCCAACAAUAACAGAACAUGCACAAGCAAAGUCACAGAUUCAAACUUCUGAUCCCUGGAACAAGUCUAAAGCAUAGAAGCAGCCAUAGCUCACCUUCCAUGCAACAAUGACUUAUAUUUGGACAUGGUGAGGUGGUCGCAUAAGCCAUCGGAUCAGAGACUAGGAAGAACACAGGUUGAUGGUGUCAGGCGUGUUGCUGCUCGCCAUCUUGUUUUAGUCUCCAUCCACACGCCCAUGCUCAUCAAAGGUGAUGUUCACCAAUAAAGCAGGCAAUAAAGAAGAAAAGUUUAUCACACACACACACACACAGAGAGAGAACAAUGCACUAAACAACAGGUCAAUAUCAUCGCAACUUAUCCAUUUGACAUGGUAUCAUGAUGGCCGUGAACCAAGAGCAACGAAAGCCGUGGCUCGAUGACCACAAGGCCAGAGCAGCGGGAGUCGAGGAGCAGAGAAAGGAGAGGUGCUGGGGGAGCUCACCAUGGUUGUCUUCUAGCCGAUGCCCAACAUCGCCGCCUAUGUGGCUCUACAGCAGGGCCAAUGGAAGAUGACGAGGCCAAAGACUAAGCCUACCACCACGCACCUUGCCUGGCAUAGUGAACCUCUUCUCCUCUGCAUAGGUGAUCAUGUUGUACCAAAUCCUACACAAGGACAACACAAAAAACAAAUCUUCAGGGUGGUAAUUUAGUACAGACAACCUAAUGAAUUGUAUAAACUCCAAAUUUUGUAAAACCUGAUCAUAACAAGUGGAAAAAAUAGUACUUGGCCAAUUCACAUUAAAUCAAUAGAAACCGGCAUUCAUGGUAUUCUACUGAAAAAUAACCCCUGGUCCUAAACUGAGAAAAAUAAAAAUGAGCAAGCCUCAAAAGCAACCUGCCUUGUCAGUCCCAAAAGGCUUAGCUAGACCUGGACCUCUACAUCUAAUUCAAGCCCCAAGAGGCUAAGGUUCUUUUUAUGGUGUGUAGAAAUAUUUGAUAACUCUAUAUUAUAGUUCAAAUAAGCACAUAAAGACAGAAUCCUACUGGAAUGUAUAAUAACAUCAAAUAUUCAUAGUAUACUACGUUAGUUUACUAUGGCAGUUCAUUUUCUUCUCUUUAUUACUUUAAUGUCGAAUUUUCAUAGCCGGUCAUCCUCUACAGCCGAUCCUAGACAUCACGAAUCGGACCAACUUAACCAAGUUGAGACCACCAGAGUAAAGCCUAGUUCAUCAUCACAUAACUGAACCAUCUAAUAGAUCACAUAAAUGGAAGUUCAGUUCUACCAGAUUGCUAAAUCUAUGGGAGCAACUGUCCAGGAAAGUGUAUAUAUCGGUAAAAAAAGACCAGCAACAUUUCGUGUUCCACUAUCAUGGGCUCAAUGAAAGAUACAGCUGGGCAAGGGGGUAGUGCAGCUCGGAGAGAGAGAAAGGUACCUACCUCAAAGGCCAGGUCGGAAUGGACGAAGACAGCAGUCCCCAUCUGCGGUGUCUUGUACGACACCGGACGAAAGAGCGCAUAGCCUCGUCGCCGACAUAAUGACAAAACUGGUGUUUGGCAUGGCCGCAAAGUUGCUUUAGAAGUGCAUCUUCAGAACAUAUGGCUUUAGGACCUUGGUGAUUGCAGGUGCCCUAGUUGGUGCGAGAAACCAAGUUGGCUAAUUAAGUUGAUCUAUGUAAGCCAGGACAUAGAAAAUGAGAGUUAGCCAAGAACACAUGCAGUGUUUCAUAAAAAACUGCACAAAUGGUUAUCCUUAGCACACAACAAAAAAGGUGGUAUAUGUUUCAGAUUCUAACUCAAGGAUUGCAUACAAAUGUAUAAUGUAUCAUAAAAAGGGCACUCAAGUUUGAUGCUUAUUGUCAGUUGAACCCAAGGAAAUCAUGUUACAGUUUACAUCAUCAUAGUUCAUCAUUCUUGCAGUGACAAUUUCAGCAGUUGAGAAAGUGAUAAAGUGAUCCAGUAAGUAGUAAUCAAUUCAAAACCGAAUGCCUGAAAGUGAAGAAUUUUUAGUAUGCAGCAGUUAAGUCACUUAUAUGCUAGUACAAAGUGGACACACAGGAUAAGAUUUUUAGGAGUUCAUGGAAGACUAGUUGUGUUGGCCCCAGUGUCCCGCUUUCAGCCUUUUCUUCCUAAAGCUUUUAUUCAAGACUUGCAGCAAACCAUUUAAACAAGUCAACAUACUCCAAGCACUUGAACCCCAAGGAGAAAAACUGAAAGUGCUACUCCAACUAGACAUAAAUGAGGGUUAUUAAACCAGGCAAACAUCUUUGAAAGGAACAUCAAAACAAAUUCAGCAUGGAUGUUUUCUCAUUUGAGACUUGUAGAACUUCCUAACGAUGCCACAAGCAGGAAAUGAAAUUUUAACUUUAAGAAUAUUGUAUUAGGUAGACAUGUUGUCCUUUGAAUGCCAUCAUUAUCUUCUUCCGUGGCAUAUAAAGUUAGGUGUGGACAUGGGUUUCAUUGUUCUGGAAGAAGCAUUCGGCACAGACCCCUGUAAGGUUCUGAAGAUGAGCAAGAACGACUCGUUCUUCCUUAACAUAGGAGGGAAUUAGAGGGAGCAGGGUAGAGAGGAACGAAAAUGAGCUUACCUACGCUGGAGUUGGUUCUGUCCACCAGAGGCGAAGGGAGAGCCGAGCCGCAUGUCGGGUAAGAGCAGCAGGGGCGCGGUCGGCGACCCGGUGCGACUAGCGUUCGCCAUCUCCGCCUCCGUCUGGCUGCUACGCGCCUCUCGUGGAUAACCAUGUAGGCUAGUUAAGCUAAUCUGCGUAAGCCAGGACAUAGGAAAUCAAAUUUAGGCAACACAUGCUAUGUUUCAGAAAACUGCAGAAAUUGUUGUCCUUAGUACAUAAAAAACUAGGUGUUAUAUGUUUCAGAUUCUAACUCUAGGAUUGCGUACAAAUGUAUAAUGUAUAUCACACAAAGGGCAUUCAAGUUUGAUGCUUAUCGUCAGGUGAAUCCAGGGAAAGCAUGUUACAGUAUACAUAAUCAUAGUUCAUCAUUCUUGAAGUGACAAUUUCAGGAGUUGAGAAAGUGAGAAGGUGAUCCAAUAAAUAGUAAUCAAUUCAAUACGCUAUUGGCUAAAAGUGAAGAAUUAUUAGUUAGCACACUAUAUAGACACACAGUAUAACAUUUUGAAGAAUCCGUAACAGACUAGCUGGUUGGUCCCAGUGUCCCACUUUCAGCCUUUUUUCCUAAAGCUUUUAUUCAAGACUUAAAGCAAACCAUUUAAACAAGUAGACAUACUCCAAGCACAAAGUUGGGACGUGGGAGUGGCCAAAGAGCUGGAAAUUUCUUUAAUCAAUAAGUAUUUUGCUUCUACAGAAAUCAAUAAAAAUACAAAACUUCCACCGAUAUAUUCAAUACAAGAAGGCCCUCGAUUAACGCUAAGGCAUAUUGCACUGGCAUAUCCAGGGUUGAAUUCCAGACUAAACUGAGAAACCCUUGAGUUCAAAAUGAAUAAGCAAAGAAUUUUCAUGCACAAGAAAACAGACAAGGAAUGUUCACUUCAAGAAACCAUAAAUGGAAGAUUAAGCAAAUCCACUUGUGUUGUAACAAACACUAACGAAGUUGUCUUAUCAUUUGAGACUUCCAGCACUUGCUUACAGUACCACAAGCAGGCAAUGAAAAUUUUACUCUAGGAACACUACCGGGUAGGCAUCUUAUCAUUUUCUUCCAUACAAUAAACAAUUGGGCAUGUGGACAGGGCAGGAUGCAACUUGCUUCUUCAGAGGAUAAACUUUUCAUGCACAUUACAAACACUAUCAGAUAAAUUUAUUCCUUUAUUAUGUACUUAAAGCUGAAUAACAUUUUAUUCCGUUACAACUAACGCCAUUUAAUCAAAGGAAAACUUUCAGAUCCACAAAUAAGCAGUGAAAGCACAUAUGUUAGGCAGGGUUGGUAAAGACAGUUGAAAAUCAAAGGUUGUUCAUCUCCAGCCUCAGAAGUUCGUCGACGUAAAUUAAAGCACAUACAUAGCAGAUUUAACUGGAAUCAAAAUCACAAGGCAACUCUCUCUCUCUCUCUCUCUCUCACACACACACACACACACAAACACAACCCUGAAAUUCAUUUUUGCUAAAAGAGGAGAAAAGAGAGGGAAGACAGCAAGUGAGACUCACCAUUGCAGUUGAAGUACGAGAUGGACUCGCUGGUGCGGGGCGUGCACCACACGUCAGUCUGUCUCAUCCUACCUGACCUGCAUGAGGAAGAAAACCGCACAACAUCAGGGAAAGGGGAGAUGAGCAAAUCGAAUGGAAUCAAACCAAGCGCAAGCGGACAGUGCAACUCAGAGAGAGACAGGUACCUCUCAGUGGCCAGGUGGGAAUGGACUACAACAGCAAUCCCCAUCUGCGGUGUCUUGUACGACACCGGAUGGAAGAGCGCACAGCCCCAUCUAGAGCUCACUGCCAAUCUAACUUGAUUUUUAUAAUAUCUUUCUUUUUUGGGGGAAAAAGAUAGACCUAUUGCGCAAAUGAAUCUUAAUCAUUCACUGUCCUCUUGAAUAAGAUUCAAGAAUGAAUCUGACUUAUUUGGUAAAUGAAACAAAAUUACUGUUUAACAUGCAUAUAUCAUACAGGUCAUGCCAUUUGUCCAAACAAUGAGGAAAGGUCCAUCUUUUAACUGCCACCAACGAAAUUACCUAUCUCUAGAAAUCUAUGGUCCAGUUGGUUACCAUUGCAACUCUAGCUAGGAAAUAUAUAUUGCACAUCCACCAACAACAGGAACACCAGCACAAACAAAAUGGAGAUUACAAACACCUAAACAAGGCCCUUCUUGGCCCAUGAUGUAAUUCAACAAUUGAGAAAGUGACAAAGUGAUCCAGUAAAUAGUAAGCAGCAGGAAUGAUACCACAAGCAGGAAAUCAAAGCUUUACUUUAGGAAUAUUGUAUCAGGUAGACAUGUUGUCCUUGAAUGCCACCAUUCUCUUCUGACGUGGCAUAUAAAGUUAGGUUUGGCGAAAGUGUUGGAAAUUGCUCUAAUCGAGAAGUAUUUUUCUUCAACAAAUUUUUAAUAAAGAUACAAAAAAGGCAUUCAAGUUUGAUGCUUAUCGUCAGUUGAAUACAAGGAAAGCAUGUUACAGUUUACAUCAUCCUAGUUCAUCAUUCUUGCAGUGACAAAGUGAUCCAGUAAAUAGUAAUCAAUCCAAAACUUUAUGGCUGAAAGUGAAGAAUUUUUAGAAUGCAGCAGUUAAGUUACUGAUAUGUUAGAUAUAACAUUUUUAAGAGUCCAUAACAUACUAGUUGGUUGGUCCCAGUGUCAUACUUUCAGCCUUUUCUUCCUAAAGCUUUUAUUCUAGACUUAAAGUGAACCAAACAAGUAGACAUACUCCAAGCAGUGGACCGUAAGGAGAAAAACUGAAAGUGCUACUCCUAGAUGUAAACGAGAGUUACUAAACUAUACAAACAUCUUUGGAAGGAACAUCAUAACAACUUCAGCAUGUAUGUUUUCUCAUCUCAGACUUGCAGAACUUCGUAACGACACCACAAGCAGGAAAUGAAAGUAUCACUUUAGGAAGAUUGUAUCAGGUAGACAUGCUGUCCUUUGAAUUCCACCAUUUUCUUCUUCUGUGGCAUAUAAAUUUAGGUGUGGCCAAAGUGCUGGAAAUUGCUCUAGUCAAGAACUAUUUUGCUUCUAUGAAAUUGUAAUAAAGAUAUGAAAACUCCCACCAAUAUAUUCAACACUAAAAGGGCUUAACUAAAGCUAAAGCAUGUUGCAUUGACAUAUUCAGGGCUGAUUCCAGAUUGAACUAUGGAACCCCUUGAGAUCACAAUGAGUAAGCAAGAACUAUCCUACGCAAGAAAACCAACAAAGAAUGUUUUCCUGAAGAAACUAUAACUUGGAGGUUGAACUAAAUCCACCUAUGUGGUCACAAGCACUGAUGAAAGUCGUCUUAUCAUCUGAGGCUCGCAGAACUUGCUAACAAUGCCACAAGCAGGAAAUGGCAAUUUUACUCUAGGAAGACUAUCAGGUAGGCAUCUUAUCUUUCUCUUCCAUGUAAUAAACAGUUGGGCAUGAGCACAAGGCAGGAUGCAACUUGCUUCUUCAAAGGAUAAAAUUUCCAGGCACAUUACGAACACUAUCAGGUAAAUGAAUUCCUUUAUAUACUUUAUAUGCUAGUCAAUGCAUUCUAUUCCGUCACAACGAAUUCCAUUUCAUCAAAGGAAAACUUUUAGAUCCACGAAUAACCAGUGUAAGCAGAUAACUUUGGCAGGUUUAAUAAAGAUAGAAGACAAACAACGGUUGUUCAUAUAAAGCAUCAGAAAUUACACGAUUCAACUCGAUGGCGUAAAUUAAAGCACAUACAUAGCAUACCUCUCUCUCUCUCUCUCUUCAUACACACACACAAAAAAAAAACUGCAGCACGGAUUUGCCAAGGUCAAUGAUGACCGGCUUCGCCCUCUGAAAUAGGCACGUACAGUACAUAUUCACAAUGCCAUAUGUUUACAUCCAGCCACAUCGCGCAAAAAAACGGAGUUCAUCUACAAAAGGCCUACUCCUUAACAUUAUAUCACACAGACUGAACUACUUACUACUAGCACAACCAUGAAUCUCUAGAUAUAGAAGUAAAACUUUGUUGAUUCAUGACAUCCACAGAAGACAAAGAAAGGCUAACAUCCUUAGAAGUUACAAACAGCAGGGAACAUUUCAUAGCUCUGCGUCUCCCUCCGUCUCUCUUACUCACACACACACAGCAGAGCAGACUGAAAACUCAAAUGCAUUUUUGCUCUCGGAUGGAGAGAAAAGAGAGGGAGGACCACAAGAGAGACUCACCAUCACAGUUGAAGUAGGAGAUGGACUCGCUGGUGCGGCGCGCGCACCACACGUCAGUCUUUCUCCUUCUACCUGACCUGCAUGAGGAAGAAAACCGCACAACAUCAGGGAAAGGGGAGAUGAGCAAAUCGAAUGGAAUCAAACCAAGCGCAAGCGGAUAGUGCAGCUAAGAGAGGAGAAAGGUAUCUCACAGUGGCCAGGUGGGAAUGGACUACAAGAGCAAUCCCCAUCUGUGGUGUCUUGUACAGGACCAGAGAGAUGAGCAUACGGACCCAUCUAGAGCUCACUGCCAAUCUAACUUGAGUUUUCUACUAUCAUCUUCUUUGGGGGAAUAAGAUAGACCUGUUGUCCAAAUGAAUCUUAGUCAUUCACUGUCCUCUUGAAUAAGCUUGAAAAUGAAAUCUGACUUAUUUGAUAAAUGAAACAAAAAUACUGAUUAACAUGCAUAUAUCUACAGGUCAUGUCAUUUAUCCAAACGAUGUUGAAAGGUCCAUUUUUUGACUGCCACCAAUGAAAUUACCUAUCUUUAUAAGUCGAUGAUCCAGUUGGUUACCACUACAACUCUAGCUAGGAAAUACAUACUGCUCAUCCACCAACAGGAAGACCAGCACAUGGUGCACAUCCACCUACAGGAAGACCCGCACAUGGUGCACAUCCACCUACAGAAAGGACGAGAACAUUACCUGAACAUUGGCUGUUGUUUGGCAUGGUUGCCCCCUCGCCUUGUUGCACCUCUCUGUGUCGUCGUGCUCCAGAUCAUGCGCGCUGCAGUACUCUUGCACAUCGGCGCGCUCGGUCUCGCGGGCCACAGCCUUGCAGCCUCGCUGACUUGCACCUGACUUAUUUGGCAAAUGAAACAAAAUUACGAAAUAGCACACAUAUAUAUCUACAGGUCAUGUCGAUUGUCUGAACAAUGAGGAAAGGUCCAGUUUUUUUAUGGCCACAAACUAACCAACGAGAUUAGCCAUCUCUAUAAAUCUCUGCACCAGUUGGUUACCACAGGAAAUAUAUGGUUUGCAGGAAGCCGUGAACAGGGUACAGGAAGUGGAGCGAGAAGAUUACCAUGAACGCGGUGUUGUUUGGCAUGGUCACCGCUUCGCCUUGCUGCUCCCUCGUGUGCGCCUUGUUGCACCCGCGUGUGCUCCUGCACAUCCGCGUCCUCGGGGGUCGCAGCCUUGCGCCGCCGCACCUGUGCACUAUAGUCUGCUGCGUGCCUUCUUAGAGAAGAUGAGACAUCAGAGAGAGAGAGAGAGAGAGAGAGAGAGAAGAUGCAUACCCGUCCCUUGUCGAGGUCUUGAAGGAGAGGGAUCCCGAGCUCGGUCGCCAUGGCCGCAGGCUAGGGUUUCGGGCGCGGGGAGCGAGAGACGGAGAGCCGUGGAGGUUGGACGCGGCGGGUGGCUAGGAGGGGUGGAAGGAGGAACGCGGUAGCGGUGGUUGCCGCGGCCUGUGGAUCUAGGGCUUCCCUCCGAGAAAGAAGAGAGGGGGGGAGAGGAGAAGGUUGGGGGCGCCAGCGGCGCGGUGCAAGGCGGUGGCGGAGGCGGGAGGUCGCCGGUGGGGUGGGGAGAGGAGGUCGGCGGCGGCGGCGGAUUGAAUCGAGGGGAUAUGAGGCGAGGAGGAAGACAGAAGAGAAGGAAGCGGCGGAUUGGGUUUGGAUUUGGGCCAAAGAGAUUGUUUUUGGUUGGUUGGUUGGUUGUGUUGGAUACUUUUUCACAUUCAUCUUUUGAACCAAAUCUUUCAGAGAGGGUGGGAGAAUUCCCACACUUUCGCUUGAUUGAACCAAAUAUUCAUGAAAGCGCGGGAGCGGUCCAAUAUCUCGGUGCCAAAAUAUGGAAGCGGCGAGGUGGGUUGGGUUUGGCGCUAGUUAUCCAUCCAACGAUGCCAAGUGGCCUCACUUUAUUGGUCACUCUUGACCUCCCACGGAUUGAUCAUCCCUCUCCAUCAGAUCCCAACUUUCCUACUAGAUUCGACGGUGGAUACCUCGCGUCACGUGGAUCAUGCUCCCUGCUCUCAGUAAAACCCGACGACCGGCUCUCACAUGAAUUUCUUCUUCAUUUAUUGUUGUAAAUCUGGAAAAAAAUCUAGAAAACAAGUUUGAUAUAAAUGUAUGGAACUAAAAUAUGUUGAAUUUUUUUACCAUAGCCACUAUUAUUUUUUCAUCAUGUGGGACCCACACUUGUGCUUCAAAGUAGCACCAGGAUCUUCAUGAUAGAGAGUCUCUCAUUUUGUCAUUUUCAUUUACUAGUGGGAAUUUUUCAUUAUAGAACUUGGCUUGUAUAUUCCAAUGAUGGGCUUCCUCAAAAUGCCCUAGGUCUUCAUGAGCAAGCGAGUUGGAUGCACACCCACUUAGUUUCUUUUGUUGAGCUUUCAUAUACUUAUAGCUCUAGUGCAUCCGUUGCAUGGCAAUCCCUACUCACUCACAUUGAUAUCUAUUGAUGGGCAUCUCCAUAGCCCGUUGAUAUGCCUAGUUGAUGUGAGACUAUCUUCUCUCCUUUUGUCUUCUCCACAACCACCAUUCUAUUCCACAUAUAGUGCUAUAUCCAUGGCUCACACUCAUGUAUUGCGUGAAGAUUGAAAAAGUUUUGAAAAUGUUAAAGUAUGAAACAAUUGCUUGGCUUGUCAUCGGGGUUGUGCAUGAUUUAAAUACUUUGUGUGGGGAAGACGGAGCAUAGCCAGACUAUAUGAUUUUGUAGGGAUAACUUUCUUUGGCCAUGUUAUUUUGAGAAGACAUGAUUGCUCUGCAAGUGAUAAGGCUUCUCUACAUGCCAUGCAUUCAAGAAUCGCUAUGUCCUGCAUCCCUUCAAUCACCAAUGCUGAGCUUCCCAGGUAAUUUCCCUGUUCAUCGCGACAGACAGCCACCGCCGCCCCUCUUCCAUAGCGUUUAGAUACCCCCGCGUCGACAUGGAUUUUGACGAAUCCUGUCGGCGGUGCCAUUGGCCUUACACUGCCUGUUGCUGCUGUCCUGGGUGCUGCUGCUCUCGGUGUUGCAUGUUAUUGCUCUUUGACUAUCUCCAGCUCAACUAGAUAGCGAUUAAUGAAUGCGUGGGUCGCGUGGGGGCUCUAGAAAAUGCCUUCGUGAAUUGCCUUUCUCCCCGCUAUCCACGUUGCCCACAGUGUUACCGCCAGUUUCACAAAAGCCUCAUGCGAUAAUGAUCGUAUUAAUGAAAACAGCCACUGUUUAGCGCUCAGCUCGCUUGAUUCCAUCAACUGGUCCGCUAACUCCUCAUCCGCCAGUGCCCAGACGCACCUGGACAUAGAGCAGUCCAGAAGAGAGUGCCUCCAAGAAUCAUGUGCACCACACAAUCCGCACGAACUUGAAGUCGCCAUGUUUCGAUGUUCCCUGACAUCCUCCGUGGGUAAUGAGUGCCUCGCAAGUCGCCAUAGGAACAUCCUUAUUUUCCCCGGGACGCUGACAUGCCAUAUGGACUUCCACGAACUCUUUUCUUGCUGCAUAUUUGAAGCUCCUGCUGUCCCUUCGAGCCAUGCUUCUCUUCUUUGCUUUGUUGCUAUUAACAUCUUAUACGCGGAACGUACUGAGAAGGCGCCAUUCUUUUCAAAAUUCCAGCACCAGCAGUCUGGAAGAUUCAUAGUGCAUAGCGGGAUGCUAAGAACAUGAGGUAUAUCUAUGGGCAAAAGAACUUCUCUGAUCCCUCAAUAUUCCAGCACGCCACCGUAGCGUCUAUUAAUUCAGAAACAUUUUCUGGGGGGUUUGCAACUCUGCUUCUAUAAGGUCUCAGGAAUUCAUCUCCUGGGAUCCAAUUAUCAUUCCAAAUAUUAGUGCUUGCACCAUUGCCAAUCCUUCUAAUUAGACCUUGUUUCAAUAUAUCUCUUCCUUCGACUAUUGCCCUCCAGAUUUGGCUCGGGUGGCUGCCGAUGUUGGCUUCUAGUAUUGUUGUAUUUGGGAAGUAAACUCCUUUCAAGAUUCGGGAGCUCAGAGCGUCUGGAUUUUUCAGAAUCCGCCAUGCCUGCCUAGCAAGCAAGGCUAGGUUAAAAAGCUUGAAGUCCUUAAACCCUAAUCCUCCCAUAUCUUUGGGUUGCGUCAUAUCCUUCCAGGAUACCCAGUUUGGCUUUCGCUUGCCAUCUCUACUCCCCCACCAAAACUUGCGGAGUAGCAUGUUCAAGUGUUCACAUAGCCCCCGCGGCAAUUUGAAGCAAGACAUUGAAAAAACUGGGAUAACCUGCGCAACAGACUUGACCAACACUUCUUUACCUGCCGUGGACAUGGUUUUCUCUAUCCACCCUUGGAUCUUGUUCCACAAACGGUCCUUGAGAUAUUUAAAGGCCCCAUUCCGUGACGAGCCCACAUCCGAUGGCAUGCCGAGAUAUUUCUCAUUAAGUGUCUCCUUGGGUACAUGUAGUAACUCUUUUAAUUUUGAGAAAUCUUCAAUAUUUUUUUUCAAACCUGGAUCUCCAGGACCGAAGCAGGAUGCUCUAUCCACUGGGCCAUCUCAAUCCUUCUAGAGGAAAGUAUCAUUUUCCCCCUGAAAUCCUCUGCAAUGGACCAAUUUCCCCCUCAACUCUAAUACUGGAUCAAUCAGCCCCUCAAAUCUGUAAAACCGGAUCAAUUCUCCCCUAAGGUGGUUUCAGACUUGAUUUGGAGUGGUUUUCACCCAUACCAUGCAUUUCUCUGGAUUGACCGUGCACUUCACUUCAUAACAGUUUGGGUGGAGAUGACUGCUUCAGUGCGUCGAGCUCGCCUCCGUGGCCGGCAUGCUCGCCGCUCGUUGUCUUCUUGGUCUCCACCAGGCUGCCGCUGAUGUACUCCCACCCGAUACCUACAACGUCGUGCCGCUGCUCAGGUCCAACCGCCCGCAAGGGAACCGCUCUGUGUGCCUCGCACCACCCGGAUUGGUGCCCCGCUUGGACGUCGUAGAAGAUGAGCUGCAUCAGCAUCGUGGACGCGCGCAUCCGGCGGCCCGCUAUCACGCCCUUGUGCCAGGCUUGCAUCCUCUUCCUCCGGCAAGCGGCGAUGGUGUUCGAGGUGGCAGCCUUGCGGGCAUCAUUUUGAUGAGCGUCUCCAGCGUGUCGGGGUUGUUGGACGACGGCGGCGACGAGAUCUUGUCGGCUCCGAGCUCUGUCAUAGGCUGUUGCGGCGGAGACGGCUCGGGGCCCCGGUGCCGGCCGCAUUUUCUCGCCGGUCUGCGUGGCCGCUGCGCGCGGUGGCCACUCAGUACUGGCCGAGGUUGAAGCAGCUCUAGUUCUUGCGCCGACCGUGAGCCCUGCUAAUGGCCGCUUUGGGCAGCUUGUUCUCGUUCCCGGCCUGGCAGCUCGAGGUGGAGGAGGACGAGGAUGAGCAGGCAAAGGCGUCGCGCGGGUAGGCUGGCGCGGGAAGGAGGCGGAGCAGCUCGGAGCCCUUGAGCACGUACUCGACGCCGCUGGCAGGUGCACGGGAUCGUUGGCGGUGAGUCGUGCCAGACGUAGCCGGUCUUGUAACUCUGCUUGGAGGACCAAGAGUAGGCGUCUGCCAUGCCAGCGCCCCGGAGCACAGUCAGCCUAGUCAACGAGUCCAGUCAGCGAGAAGUGCACGGUCUGGGUCCAAACCACUCAAAAUCAAGUCCAAAACCACCAUAGGGGGAAUCGAUCCGGUUUUAAAGAUUUGAGGGGCUGAUUGAUCCGGUAUUAGAGUUGAGGGGAAAAUUGGUCCAUUAGAAAGGAUUUCAGGGGGAAAACGAUACUUUCCUCAUCCUUCUACUAUAAAAUAGUGGGAUUUUACAGUAUUGUAAUGGACCAAUUACAAUGCCGGGCCGGCCCGUUUGGCCAGCUCUAGUAGUCAUUGGAUGGGAAGACGGGACACGUGGGCGCAUCUAGGCAAGGGUAUGCACGGGAUCGAGUUGGCUACCGGCAUCCAAGAAUUUUUUUUCCCUCCCCGCGCCAGACCUAGCGAUGACUCCUCCCCGCGGCGAGAAGCUUCAGGCGGCGGCGGCGGCGCAGGUAGGGUUUUCCCACUCCCUGGCCCUCAUCCUCCCCGUCCUCUCUACGCCGGCUGCGGAUCUUUAACCAUCGGCGGCAGCGGAUCUUCAACCCCCGUCGGUGGCGCAGUUAGGUUCCCACUCCCUCGCCCUCCGACUCCGAUCUCCGGCGGCGGCGGAUCUUCAAGCCCCGGCGGCCUAUGUCGCUGGCCGGCGCAGCCACUCCUCCCGCCCCGUCUCGCUGGCCGGCGCAGCCACUCCUCCCGCCCCGUCUCGCUGGCCGGCGCAGCCCCUCCACCCGCCCAUCUCGCUGCCCGGCGCGGCCCCCAUCCGGACCAUCUUGCUGGCCGACGCUGCCCCUCGAUCCCGCCCUUCUUCUUCCCCUUCUCUCUGACAUCUUCUUCUUCGCCUUCCUCUUCCAUGUUCUUCUUCCCCUUCUUUCUCUUCUUUUCCUUGCCCAGCCAGUCCCCUUCUAAGUUCCUCCUCUUCCCUUGUUCCUAUUCUUCCUCUUUUCUCCAUUUUCCAAUUAAUUUACUAACCAUAGAUUCAUGCUUUGCAGGUCUCACAGGUCAUGCUGAUAAGGGGAACCCCGGGAGGCCGAGUUAAGGUACGAGCUGCUCAUUGAUUUAAUGAAGGGAGCCAUGCUAAAUUGUCAUAGAUUAGAUGAUGCAUGCUGAUAUAUCAUAUAUGGGGAUAAUUGACGAUAACCCCCCUUGUUGGAAAAUCCUUGAUCAUAUACCCCCCGCCUCUGUCUCUGACGUGUAGGGUUUAAGUGGCCUAGGGGGGUUAUCAUUAUAUGCUCUAUAUUGUUGUGUGCUGGUCAUGGGUGAUUGAUGAAUGCUUAUGUGAUGUGAUGGUGAAAAAAAUGUGUGAACCUCAAAUAGUGCUCUAUGUUGUAUUGAGAAUUAAAUUUAGCAUAAAACUGACAUGAUGUGUAUGCAUUGUAGUUGCAUCAUAUCUCAAGUGGAUUUGGUCGCUUCUAUUACCAAAGAAAACAAAAGAAGAAAAAGGAAAUGAUUAUAUUUCUCUUCAGUCACUUUCGUUUAAUCUUGUCUACCUUUUUUAUUAUUUAGUUAGUUAUGUGAUUUUUUGGAAAAACAUAACAUGCUGGAUGCAGUGGAGUGUCAUUCUUUAGUUUCAUCAGUCAGCUUUAUUUGGUUCCUCGUUCUCAUUCUUCAGUCAUCUCCCUUGGUCAAUGUGACUUGUCAUUCUUCAGUCUUUCACCUGCUGAUUUAGGAUAAUGUAGCUGAUCAACUUGUUCCAUUAUCAGAUCUGUUGCAUAUACUAAUGCUACUGUAUUUUAUGAUUUUGCUUCAGUCAUAGUCCUAUCAGGCCAGCAGCUCCAGCAGCAACUUUCCCGAGUUGCCAGGUCCACAACACUUGUAGAAGAUAUGCUCUCUGGUGCAGGUCUUCCUGCUCUUCUCCCCAUUUCAUUCUUUAUGAAAUUAGAUGAGAAUUACAUCCACAUACUUACAUGGUCUUUAUUACUUGUCAUCUAGGAUGAAGGCUAAAUUUCUGUCCGGAAUGUUGUAUUCAACGUUUCGCCUGGGCCGUUCUUCUGUGCACCCCGGCUGCCAUGGAAAAUCUACAAGAAAAUUUUCAGAGAAGGCAUCUGGUCCAGUGACUCAAAGAAUGUACGUACACUCAGCCACAAAAUUAUCUUUCAAUUGUAGCUGAUAGCUUCCAUGUCACAUAUUGUGACAACAUCAUCGACUAAAUCAUUUCAUUGUUGCACAAGGUCACCGCCCAGAAACUUAUGUCACUCUCACUCCCAACAACACCGACCACCGCUGUCCCCUCCUACCCACAAUCCUCCUUCCUUGCCCUCCUCCGAUCCCUAUCUCUGUUCCUCUACAUGCCCAAGUAGCUAUGCCCACAGCUACCUCUCCCAUGCCCUUACAUGUGAAGGCUAUUGCAUUGGCAGCUUUGCAGCAGCAUCGCCGCAGAACGUGCUGCUGGGAAAAGGUACACUAAGCUGGUAUAGACCAUGCCAGUCAAAGUAGUAUACAUGGCACCACGUCAGCUAGAGUCAAGGGCGCACUUUGUCCAGUUUUAGCGUCAAGGAGUGAAAUUUUGGACUUUGCGAAGAGUUGAACGAAAAAUUGGCACCUGCGGCCUCAACACCCCAUCUUCAUGGGAACGCUGACUGACUCAGAGAAUGGUGGGUCUGUGUAGCGUGUAGAAGCGUCCUAGAGGGGGAUACAGCUGUGUGCAGCAAGUCAAAUGCCAUAUAGAAGUUGAACAAUGCAUGUGUUGUUGCAAUUUCGGAGUAAGCGGAUUACUGCAAACCUUUGUGGUGUUAGUCUACACAGUCCAUGUGUUACUUUGAUUGGAUUGUGAGUAUUCGCGAUGCACUGCGGACCUUUGUGUUGUUAGUAUACACAGUACACGUGCUACUCUGUUUAUCAUUGGUAUUUGCAGCAUUACAAUUAAGAAGACAUGUUUGACUUUUUUUUUGACAUGGAACACUCGUAUUCCAUUAAUACACGGCUAAAUCGCCGGUUACAGCACGGGUUACAUCAUCAGGAUAGUUUGAAAUCCAGUGACUCGAAGCACCAACCGGUGAUCCCGCACCAAAAGCCGCCAACACAUGUGCUGGCUUGUUACUUUCACGUGGUGUGUGCACUACAAUAGACUGAAGAAAUUGUGUGGCAAGCUUUAGCUUGAUAUCUUGAAACACCUGACCCAGAGGAGACAUAUCAUAGGCAUCCGAUGACACGGCUUGCUGAAGAACGAGGCAAUCAGUCUCAAAAUGAACUCUUCCCACCCCCAUUUGGUCAGCAAGGGCUAUCGCGUUCAGCAAGGCCACUGUUUCUGCAUGUAGAGCGCUCGAUAAAAAUUGAGAUGAGCCAGCUGCAACAAAAUUCGUAUCACAUGAAGCAUCUCUGCAGACUAACCCCCAAUCCCCAUUGCCAGAUUGAUCUUUGUAGGCGCCAUCAAUGUUUAUCUUCCAAGUUUGGUGCAUGGUCAUCUGAUCGGCUGGCUCUUUAUUUAAAAAAUCCUUCCACUCAUUUACAUGUAAGCGUACAGAAUAUUGGAUUUCCUCUAUUGUUGCUCUGCGUUCACCAUGGUUUCCACGAUUUCUUUCAUGCCACCAAGACCAAAGGAGAGCAACAGUGGGCAUUCUCUGUACCUCAGGCAGUCGGGUAAUAGCAUGCACUACAUCCUUUGCCGAGACAAGUUGUGCAAGAUGCAAUCUCACCUCCUCCAACUGCAGUGCUCGCCAGCAUGGUUUCACCAUUUUACAGUUCAGAAAUAAAUGCCCCCCAUCUUCAAACAGCCGACCACAGACGGCACACCGCGUGUCAAGCUCAAUACCCUUCCUACUAAUGUUCAUGUAUAAUGGGUGACUGUUAUGAGCAAGUCUCCAUAAGAAAUGAUGCACCUUUGGGGGACACUUUUGCUUCCAUAUUGACUUGAAUAGCUCAGCAUCCCGUUCAUCAUUAGAUGAGCUUUCCCCCCUUUGCCUGUUAGACUCUCUCUUCAACAUUGCCACAUGCGCCUUAUAUGCAGACUUAACUGAGAAAAUGCCUUUACUGUCGAGGUGCCAAGCUAAAAAAUCUCUGGCCUGAUCAUUGACGGGGAUGCUCAGAAUGUAUGGCACGUCAUCUUGGUGAAAACAGUCUUCCACGAGAGCUUGAUCCCAGGUUCCGGUGGAAGGAUCAAUUAAUUCACAAACCCUGGUAAAUAAACUUUGUCCACGAGGGUUAGAGGGCCGACGAGUCACUCCCCUUGGAAUCCAAGGAUCUUCCCAAAUGUGGACAUCUGUCCGUCCCCGAUUCUCCAGAUCAUCCCCUCCUUAAGCAGAUCAAUGCAUGUUUGACUUGAUAGAUGCUAGCUUGGCCGUAUCUUGCUAGCUAGGAGGUGGUCAAGCACCAUACAUCAUUACCUUAGCAAGCACAGUAAUGGAAGAUAUCAGUACAUUAUUUCAUAGAUGUCAUGCAGUGUUUCGUUUUGCUGUUUGCUCUUUCUUUUGCACUAUACGUGAUGCCUGAUGCAUUUGCAUGAUCAAACUGCAUGUGUUCUCUAUUGCUGUAGCUUUGGUGAUGACAUAGUUCUAACAAGAUUUGUCUCUCCUGUGUUGCAGGCAAUGUGCCAAGAAGUAUGAUCGCGCUGAGGAUUUGGUGUGUCCAGUACAAUACUUUAAAGAAGAGUUAGGGUUCCUAAAAUCUCUGGAUGAGAAUGAACUUCUCGGAGCAGCUGAAAAGAAAGGCAGGUCUGAGGUCAGGAUGGAGGUAGCGAGAGCAGCAAGAUCGCUGCCUGAGCUCAUCUUGAAGAGACAUGCUAUUGGAAUAGCCUGUGGUGACAGCCUGAAGCUAAGCAAUAUCAGGAUUUCGAGGUCUAUUGGCAAGUUCGUAUUUGUCGAACCCCCAAAACCUACGGAUAGAUGCCUUAGGCUCGUAGAUGACUUCAGCCGUGGGGCAGAUGUAUUGGAGGAGCUAGCAAGCUCAGUUUUGGGCCCUGGUGCUCGGAUGCCGAAGGUCUGGGAUGAUUUCCUUGACAAGUUAAGAGAGCAAUGCCCAAGAGUGCACAUCAUAAUGUAUCACUCACUCUUCUUGUCAUUGAAUCUGAGGUAUUGUCUAAGGGUCAUUGUGGAUCAGCGGUUCCGCAAGGACUUCGGUUCACUGAAGAAGGAGCAGAAGGAUGCUAUCCGGAAGUUCAUUGAAAAACUUGGCAUGACGCGCAAGGAGGAUCUGCCCUCGCUCCUGCUCAGGAAUGAGUUUCUGAAGUUUGUCUCGUUAAGGUCAAGAAAGGGCGCGCAGGGAAGACGCGGGAAAUCAAAUUCACAGCUGAGCACCCAGGAGGCAGUCUGGAGUGACAAAGGCCGAUCCAUCAUAGCCUUCAACAGAGAUGGCGUCGUCCAUGGUUGCAAGGACGAUCCGAAUGACAAGGAGAUAGCAGCUAUGCCCAACAUCCAGAAGCACUGGAGGACUCAGGAGAAUGUCAUCCAGUUACUGUGUGAGGAGUUUGAGCUUCUUGAUCAGUCAUACAUCGAGCUGUGUGAUGACGAUGAGAAGAUACUGUGGAAACUGGUGAGAAUAUGGGAGCUCUUUGGCGAGACUGAAGGCUAUUGGCAGGCUGCCAUUGCUGCAUUACAUGAAGAGUCAAAAGCUUCACUGGCGAACGGUUCAACCAAGUGUGAGGUGGAGUAGUUUCUUUAUUCUGGUUCUGGUGUUGAGUGCCUUGUAAGUAGGCUCCGUGGCUUUUUGACCAGGAUGCUGUGUGUUGAUGCUGCUCUUUUGUCAUGUGUGUAGGUGGCUCUUUGCAUGUAAGAGUAACAGUUUACUCUCAGUUUAGGUUGUUCCCCGUAAUGAGAAUUUGCUAGUAGGUUUGGAUCAUUCUCCGAGUCCGAGCUGCCUCUGUUGAGUUGUAUCCUGAUGGUAAUUUGGUGCAGUCUUGAACCUGUCGAGUUGUAUCCUGAUGGUAAUUUGGUGCAGUCUUGAACCUGUCGUGUCGAUGAUGAUAUGUCUGACUACUCUGUUGAGUUGUGUUCUGAAGGUGAUAUUUUGGUGCACUGUUGCACGAAAUAAGUUGCAAUUUGUGGUCAUUCGCAGUUUGGCUGGUUGUCUCUUUUGCCUCCGUCCUAAAAUGCAAGAUAUGUUUUUACACUGAUAGUGUCAAAAAAAAUAUCUUUCAUUUUGGGACGGAGGGAGUAGUAGAGUAAACUACGACUACUCAUUUUACUUUAUGAUGAGAGUAUAAGAAAUGCACCUAUGAGUUUCCGAUAUUUCAGCCUUGACAUGAGUGAUUGUAGUUUUGAGACCACUAGCUUAUCAAUGUAGACGAAAAUAUAUCAGUUGGUGAAUGAACGAACGCAUAUAUAGGCGAACAUCUCUCGCAGCACAGGCUUGUUUGCAAACUGACAAACAGAUGUUCGUUGCUCUCUCACCACAAUACAAGAGGACAGCAAGUGAUUGCGUUAACCUGGAAUCAACAAUUUAAGUACUGGAAAAUGGUUUCGUGCAGUCCGAAGGCACGGUGAGAGUGGAGAGAUGAACGCGGCGAUGAGCUCGACGAACGUGAUGGAACGGGGCAGCUACGACUGACUGCGGGGGACAAGACAAAGUUAUUUAGGUAAAAAAUCAUCACAGUUGAGACUAGGAUAACAAAUUGGUACUACAUUUGUGCCAGUGUACAAGAACCACCAACUCUAUGUCUAAUCUAUAACGCAGAGCAAUGAUUGUUGAAUUUGCUCGUGAAAACAACGAAACUGACAUCUUGGGCCCACCUGUCGGGUUGACAUGGCAAAGACCAGGCACACAAAAAAACAUUGAUCAGCUGAGGUGGCAAAUGAGACGCGGACCCCGCCCGCAUAUCAGUGACUACAUGAUCAUCUUCUUCCCAUCUCUCUUUCUAUGAGACAUUACAUCGAGCAGCUUGUGGGCGGGCAAACUGCAGCGACCAGUGGCAGCAGCGAUUCACCAUGGUGGUGGGGGAGAUGGGCGCAGUGAGUCCUCCAAGGCCGAUGCCGUUCCCGUCUGCGUGGACGCCCGAGCCAUCCUCGCUUGUUCGAGCCGAGAGCUCCAUGGCCACCAUGGCAUGGCAGCCGAGCCGCCUCAUCCUGUUGCCCGCACGCCUAGCAGCCGCGAUCCGCACCACUCUCGCGAGAUCCGGCACCAUAGUCGUGCCCGCGCGUCUCACCGCCGUCGACCGCCAGCUCUGGCGGCCACACCAGUCACUCCAGAGAGCUCUCUCCUACAGCUCGCCGGCGCGGCACGGCAACACCACUUCCUCCCAUGUCUACAUCUGGCCAAGUGGCUAGCGCCUCCCGCCGGAGCGGCACGACACCACAUCUGCCAAAGAAGGGGGAGGUAGUGGGACGAGCACAGCGAGAACCUCUUGCUCCCUCCUACAGCUCGCCGGCGAAGGACCUGGUCAUCGGGCAAGGAGAGAGAGAGGAUUUGGGGGAGAGAGAGACGGGGGAGGAGGAGAGUGGAACAGAUGAGAGGUCGACGGGUGGGGCCUUUGGCCACCUCAGCAAGUUAUCCAUGUAGACAUGCCAUGUCAUCUUGACUGGUGGUCUCCACCAGUCGGUUUCACUGUUUUCGCGAGUAAAUGAGAGAAUCGGUGCUUCGCGUUAAUCGUUAGGCGCAAAUUUGAUGGUUCUUCGUGCCCUGGUUCAUACGUGAUACCAAGUUGUCCCAACCGUGAUGGUUUUGGGUAAAUGAUUCGACGAGACAAGUAAACUGGAUGUGCAUGGUCACACACAUCGGCCGAAAUUAUUAGACCAUUAUUUUAGUAAAGGUCCACCAUAAUACUUUUUAUAAGAAAAGUCUAAAGUACCCUUAUGUAACACCUUGAUCUUUCCUUCGCAAGAUUGGACUCCUGUCUUUUUCUUUCGGUUUUGUUGUAUUUUCUCUUGAUCUUGGGCGUAGGAAGAUGGUUACAUGGCAAUGCCUUUCCUUCAAAUCAUAGAUUCUUCUCAUUCCAUCCUUGCCACCAAAAAAUGUAUUCUUAGGGUUUGCCGCCAAAACCGUGCUUUCCGAAGUAUCGGGAAGAAAACCCUAACUUCGAGAGUUAUAAAGGAGCCCUAACUUCCUUUGAUCCACUGCCUCCAAAAAUUCUCCCAGAGACUCUCCUGCAUCUAUAAACCCUGGAUAUGCAAAAAUAUUGAAGUCAUAUGCAAUAUUUCUCAUUUCAAAUUAAUUCCUUUUCCUGGCUGUGAAGGAAUUAAUUCCAGGAAAAUAUCUAUCCAUCUACAAUUUUUUUGGAAACUUGUGGAUAUAUUCCUUGUGUCUAUCUUGAUUUUCCUUUAUAGAAUCAAUAUUUCACUACUGUCUAUUUCUAAAGGAGCUACCUUUUUAGUUGCUUUAAAAUUUUUGAAUUAAUUUGUGGAGCUUCUCGUGGACCAACCUUCAUCAUUUUGAUCAAUAUAUCAAGAUCCAUAGUUGAAAUUCUGAGCAUAGCAUCCAUUCCCAAUUUUUGAAGGAAGUGCUUGAACCCUUGAUCCAUUUGAGCUAAUUUUGCACAGUGAUUAACAUUGACAGAUCUCUCAUGAAAACCAAAAUCCAGCCCUAUCCAUCCAGCCAAUCCUCCACAAAUAUUUGCCAAAGUUUCUGUACAGACUUAAACCUUGUGAAGGAAGUAUCCUAAAGGCUUCCCAUUUACCCUCAAAAUUUACCGGGGGUUUAUCUUGGUAAAUGAUUGCUAUCCACCAAAAAUGAGCUCAUUACCUUAAGCCAUUUAUUCUCAGAUAACUAUCAAAGCAAUUUGUCCAGAUUGGACUUUUGUGAAGCAAGUAUUAUUUCCCCUUAUCAUUUUGUUGUAAACCAUCACAGGGUGAUGGACCUUUCUAAAGUAUUUCUAGACACAAAAAAUCACAUAUUUUCACCAAGCUAAUCUUCCCCAGUACACCACAAACACAUGAUGUUCAUCAUCUAAGUCAUCUCAAAUCAGUCCAUUCUUGACUCCACUGCCAUCCAAGACAUGACAUAUCAACUCAUGGAUUAUUGAACGCACCAUAUAACGCAAUGCACGUGGUGACCGUGCAUGUGGCCUGCAUUAAUGGUGCUCUGCGCCGUGCCUCGCCUCGGCCGACAACUCCGGCCAGCCUCCUCUUGUCCCUGCGUGUCGAACACCUUCUCCAUCAAACACCCCCCCUCCGGACCCCUCUCCCCCUCAGCCACUUCCUCGCCGCGCCCCGGCAAGAUCCGCCGAAGCACUGUGCCCCCGUGAUUUCCCUUGUCCACUUCCCUGUGGCCUCUCCUUCCCCCGUGUUGUCAUGUCGCAUUGAUUGCAUCUUCAGGUCGGCAGAGCGCGUCCAAAUCCAGCUCACCGGAGCACUUGAUCUCCGGCCAGCUCUUCCGCCAUAUUUGUCGUGUCCUCUUGGGGCGCCCCCUCCCCUCUAUGUAUAGGUGGAGAGGCGCGGGAAACAACCCCUCCAAGCCCUAGGGCGCAGCCAAGGGGGAGAGGACUUGGACUCCAAGUCCAAUCCUAUUCCUACUAGGAAUCCCCCCUUUUUUUUCCUUCCCUAGCCACAUGGGCUUUUGAGGACUUGGUGCGCCUAGCCCAAUAAGGCCAGGGCACCUCCCUUCAGCCCAUGCCAUCCCUCGGGUCAUGGUGGACCCACUUGUGGACUUCUAUACCCCUCCGGAAUCCUCUAGGACCUUCUAGAAGCUUCAUGGUACAAUACCGAAAAAACUGCACCUUUUUUCGGAACCCAAAAUAUGACUUCUCAUAUAUAAAUCUUUACCUCUCGACCAUUCUGAGACUCCUCAUGACGUCCGGGAUCUCAUCCGGGACUUCGAACAAUAUUCGGUUACCAAUCAUCAAAUAUCCCGAUACUACUCUAGCGUCAACGAACGUUAAGUGUGUGACCCUGCGGGUCCGGGAAUCAUGUAGUGAGGGAGCUCUCUGUCGAGCCAAGAACUUCGGUUCCGAGGUAGUCUUCAUCAAGAGUACCGUCCUUGGCAUAGAAAACCAGUUCAGAGGCUACUGACAGUGUCCUGGAUUAGGGGGUGCUAACCUAGUCGGCCCAUGCUCCUUGGAUUGGACCGAUAGGCCCUCAGUCAUACGCAAGAAGGACUCUGGAGGCCGUACGCAGGAGGCGUGAUCGAUACUACAUCCAUCAAAGACUUGUCGUAUACUCGAAGAUAACUCAUGUCGCCUUGUGCCUAGAUGCCGACCUUGUGACCCUAGAUACCCUACAUGCAUGUAUAUAAGCCGUGGGGUUUAGCCCGUAGAGGGGACAUUAACGCAAUAUCAUUCACCUAGCCCUAGAGUUAGACCACAUCUUACGAUCCCGAGGUAGAUCAACUAUGUACUCGAUACAUCUCCAUUAAUAUAAACAAGAGUAGGACAUAGGGUUUUACCUCCAUCAAGAGGGACCAAAACUGGGUAAAACAUCGUCUCUCUGUUCCUAUUACCAUCUGUCCGAGAUCGACAUCUCGGGACCUCCUACCCCGAGGUCUGCUGGUUUUCACACCGACACCAGCCUUCUUAUCUACAACAUCUCAUAUGCUUCAUGGUGCUCAAAACGUCUUUGGAGCCCCGGUUCUAAGCCGUAAAGCAUGGCGUAUUGAACUAUUGUGUAGUCAUCAUUUCUUGUCUGCCAGACGUUCAUAGUGUGUAGAUUUGCGGGAGCGAGUGGCUCACCUAGCGGUGCAUCAAAAACAUAAGCCUUUUGUGCAGCAGUGAGGAUAGUCCUCAUAUUACCGACCCAGUCUGCAUAGUCUUUUAACCUUUUCUUUUUCUAGGAACGCAUUAAAAUUCAGACUAGCUACAGUGUGAGCCAUUGAUCUACAACAUAAAUUUUUAAAGAGAUUUAGAUUAAGUUCAUGAUAAUUGGUUUAGUUAAUCAAAAUACUAGUGAACUGCCACUUAAAUCAACAUCCCUUAAGUUGUGUAAGUGUUACAUGAUCCAAAUCAACUAACCCAUAUCCGAUCACCAUUUCAGAUGGGGUGGUCAUCAAUGGUGAACAUCUCCAUAUUGAUCAUAUCUACUAUAUGACUCAUGUUCGACCUUUCGGUCCUCCGUAUUCUGAGGCCAUGUCUGUAUAUUCUAGGCUCGUCAAGUUUAACCCAACUAUUACGCAUGUGUAAAACAUGAUUACAUCCGUUGUAUGUGAACGAAGAGUCUAUCAUACCUGAUCAUCACGAGGUGCUUCGAAAUGACAAACUUUUGCAACGGUUCAGCUGGUUCCCGUGCUACUGCUAGCCAUUUACCCCACGCUACUGCUAGCCAUUUUCCUAGUAGUGUAGGGGUGCACAUCUGACUAAACAAUUUUUUCCCUGUUGUUCAGACUAACUGACUGAAUGGGUUUAAAACAUGUAAGCUUUUUUUGAUGCAAUCUCGUGAAACUCUUUAUUAAAUUCUGAUAAUGUUUAUAGGGACGAACGUAAGAUCACCAGGAUGGCGCAUCCAUACAUGACGGCCGGUUCCUAGUGUAAGAGCAUGUUUCGCUAAAUUGUGAGCCUCAAUAUUCGAGAUUCCAUACGCAUAACUAAAAGAACAAGUACUACAUCGGUCUCAAAGUUGGAUUAAAAUUAAGACAUUUAUUGUGUAUUUUGAGACGGAUGGCGUAAUAGAUAAACUAGAGUGGUGUAAAAUUUCUAGAAGAAUGGCACCAUAAACCGCUGCACUCCCAUGCACUCCUCCUAUAUACACUACUCGCAAAAGAAGAAAGAAGUAUACAAAUCACCCCAAAAUCCAAUCUUUGGGAUUAGGGCUGGAAUUCGAGCCGAGUCGAGCCAGCUCGGCUCAACUCGCUAGAGCUCGUUUCGUUAACGAGCUAGCUCGACUCGACUCGUUACUAUAACGAGCUCAAACCCAAGAUUGGCUCGACUCGUAUAACUCGCGAGCUGGCUCGUUUAGCUUGUUAAGCUCGUUAAAUAUAUAAACAUAAAGCCCUCAAAUAUAAUAAAAAUGAUUAUGUAUAUAUUAAACAUAUAUAUCACUAAACAAUUGUAAUUUCCUUGUAACGCAUGAGUCUUUUAGGAGGCUAGGCCUUCAACGGGUAGACCUUGGGUUGUGCGCUUGGGACCUAGGUUGUUUAGUGGCCGAUCUUUCUUUGUAUUGGGAUUGGCUGAUCUAUUGUAUCAAGUCUAACGAGUUACACGAGUACUCGUGAGAUUGGCUUGUUUAACUUGGUUUGUAAACGAUCUUAAACUAAAGCUCGGCUCGACUUGUUAUUCUUCGAGUUCGAAUCGAUUCGAGCCGAGUCACGAGCUACUUGUUUAGCUCGCGAGCUUCGAGCUUUUUUUCCAGCCCUAUUUGGGAUACAUACCCCCUUGAACUCAAAACCGGGACAAAUCACACCCUCAAAUUACUAAAACCGGGCAGUGGUUUCAAUCAAAUCUUGAGCUGUUUUUGUCUCCCCUGAUGCCGAUUAGAUGCUAACAAGGAAAAAAACUUUGAAUGGGGCCCAUUAGCCAGUUGCCCCCUUGCUUCUCCUCUGUCCUCUAUUCCCCUUUGUCUCUCACGCGGAGAAAAUCCCCACCUCGCCUCCAUCCCCAUCAUCGGCGCGGGCCUCUGGCUGGCGCACGUAGGAGCAGACGGCGUUGCGGAAGGCGCAGCAGCCGCAGGAGCAGACGGCGAUGAGCAGCAGCAGCACGACGUUGACGAUGGUGACGUUGUGCCACUGGCAGCGCAGCUGCUCCAUCACGCCGGCCCUGCACGACUCGCAGCCGUAGCAGAGCACCGCCGGGUCGUUCUGCCACCGGAAGCAGUCCUCGUCCUGCACCGCCACCACCAUCGGGCCCAGCCUCGUCACGCCGCCGCCGUAAACGCCGUAAACGCCGCCGCCGAGACAAAAACCGCUCAAGAUUUGAUUGAAACCACUGCCCGGUUUUAGUAAUUUGAGGGUGUGAUUUGUCCCGAUUUUGAGUUGCCAAAGAAAGAUUGGAUUGGAUUUUGGGGUGAUUUGUAUACUUGUUUCGCAAAAGAAACCCAAAAGAGGGAGUCCGUCCAGGGACCAGGGAAGACAAGGCUUUGCGUGGGCUGAUGCUUGGUAAUAUGGCCCAGUCGGCCCAUGGUUAAUUAUCAUCAUCCAUAUACAGAGUUACAGACGAGAAGAAAGGCGUGGCUUUCCUCGUUCCAUCCCCCAAUCUCGCCGCCGCCGCCGCCGCCGCCGCGCCUGCUUCGAUUCGUCGAGUCCCGUUGCAGGUAUUGCUUAAUCUUUCCCGGUCGAUUCUUGCAGAUUGAUGGAUUUGUUGUUUGUAGAUUGAUUUUGCGUCCUUUUUGUCUAGUUGGUCCGGAUCCGGAGGCGGAGCCGGAGCCGGAGAAGAAGAUGAAGGCACGGCAGUUGGUGAACGUGGUGAUGCGGAGGUACGGCAUGGGCAGCAGCCACUAUUCGGUGAGCCGCAUCAAGCCCGAGGAGCAGCUCUUCUUCCCAUCAACCAAGGAGGCGCGGGAAGCAUCCAGCACGGGGACGGGGGAGAUGGAGACCAUCUCCAGGAUGCCCGCCGCGCCCAGCCUGAGCCUCGUACGCUCGGCGGUUCUGGUGGAGAGGCUGGAUUUCCUCCCUUUCUACGAGCGCAAGAUCCUCUGCGUCGACGCCCAGGGCCGCACCGUCCUAUACGACGCCGACGCCGACGCCGACGCCGGCCUCCUCCAUCCGCUGCCCUCCCUCAGGGGUCCCAAGGGGCCCAACCCCAUCUCCUUCUCCAUCCUCGACAGGGAGCCUCUGGACCCGCGGCGGGCCGACGUCCUGUACGUCAUGCCCAGGUGCCCUCGGCGCUACGACUACUACAGCUUCGAGGCCCUCAUGUACAGCGACCCCUCCAACGGCAGGAAAGGCUGGCGGUGGCACCGCCUCCCGCCUCCGCCCGCCUCCGCCAACGGCUGCCACGCGCUCGUCGACAAGGACGGCGGCGGCGACCCCAUCCUCGUCGUCUCCUCCGCCGACGGCACCCACUGCUUCCACACCUUCACCAACACCUGGUUCGAGGCUGGAGGCUGGAGGCUGCCGUUCGCAGGCCGUGCCCACCGUGUUGCUGAGCUCGACAACCUCUGGUUUGGCAUCGCCCGCGCCUGGCCCUACGACCUUUGCGCCAUGGACCUCUACCCCCUCUGCGGCGGCCUAUGCCCCGAGGCCGAGGCUCCGCGGCUGGCCUACAGCUGGGGAGACCACCUUAGCCUGCCGGACGACUGGGAGAUGAUGGACUGCAGCAUGGUGUACCUGGGCGGCGGCAGGUUCUGCGUCGCCAAAAUCUUUGAAUUCUGCCACGGCGAUGAUGACCGCAAGGGGAUGGGUGUCAUCUCUGGCUUGGAGGUGGUGCGCCAAGGGGAGCCAUCCAAACUCGUCAUGGUCAAGCACAAGUCCAAGCUCUACAAGUUUACCAGGGAUGAGAUCCAGUGUAUCCUCUAGACUAGAGCAAAUGAACAAUGUUCAUGCUAAGUAACUACUCCCGGAGGUAGAUGAGGGAGUAGCAUGGGAGCAAACAAUAUCUGGACGAGUGCUAUGUGUGUGUUGGCUAGUUUCUUGGACAGCAGCACUUGUGUGAAUGCGAAUGCGAUUUGAUUUUGGUUGUAAUGUAAAUUUCCCCCUGCCUGGUACCGUUUGUUUGCUGUCACAAAUCUAACUUGUUUUAAAAUAUUUAUCUUAGUUUUAGCAGCUAAUUACACAUUUUGUAUGUAGUGAGCAAAAUAUUAAUCCCGGCCUGGGCCUGCCUGCACCAAGACUCUGUGUAUACUAUUUAAGCUUGUCUCUAUCUAUAUGCACUUGACUUGAGUCAUCAGGCUCCUUUGUAUAUUUAUUAGUUGUGCCUCUACUUCUCUACAGAUUUCUUGCAAACUGUGAAGAUGGUCCUCUUUGCUCUGCUAAUUUAAGUUCGUCAUAUAUAUAUUAGAAAUAUCUGCUCCAAAAAAGUUGAAUUCUCCAACAAAGGAGUCCAAAUAUCUGCUUCACACUUGUAACUGUUUUAAAAAAAAAUCAUCUUAGCUAAUUAUGUUGGCACAUUUGUUAUGCCUGGCCUGCAUCCCUCAACAUGUGUGGGGAACCUCGUCUUCAGUUCCUCGGUUGCUUGUCAGACCGAAUAAGACUAAAAAUACCAGCUACCAGUUCCUCGUCUUCAGUCAAUGUUGACAAUGGAUAUUAACUUAGAUUUUCCCAAGAUUUUGGCUGCUAUUCCGAAUUACUCUAUUAUUCCGAAGCCAAUGAAAAGUAAGUAGAACCUACAAUGGAUACUCGGUUCCUCGGUUGUGGAGUACAUACAAUGAGUUCGGAAAAUACACAAUCCCAAAAUUGACUCAAAACGCAUACCAGCUACCUGGAAAAUUCAAAAACUGAAAAGCACACCAUACGUCCAAACACUCUUGACUUUCAUUUCUCAUCUGACUCCCAAUUUGCAUACUCAGUUCUUUUUUCCAGAACACCACCUCUCUUAUUCGAACUUGUGGAUUUUUCCUACUGCUCCAACUACAGGAAGGCGUUCAUCAAUACCAAAUUCGAUAAUUUCAGCAACUUACACACGUACUCUAUGAUGUAGGGCCUGUAUUAUUACAAUUACUUCACUAGAACAACUUGUGCAGAGUAACAGCAGCUGAUCCGAUGAGCUGGAAUUCCCGCUUCAAUUGGACUGGAAACAAAGUCAUCUGAGAUCUGCCCAUCUAUUUACACGAUUCAAAUCCUGCACAACCCAACUUACCCACCCAAUCCAUCUAAACAAAAAGCUCCAAAGGAAAAAAAAAACAUCCAUAUCGAGCUCCUCACGCCUUCACACUCAGCGCCCCACCUUGAUUCUGCUUUCAGUUUCUGCUUGAGGCCUACAGAUCGAUGCCUAUAAAGAUAAAUCAACAUUUCUGAAUGUCAGCAAACGACAAGUAGUGCACCAUAGUGACAGACAGAAACAAACAUAUCAAGAAUAGCCAUCCAUACUUCGAAUCCUAAUAUGGAAGUGCUCCAUCGUUAGCGCUGCUAGGUCACUCAAACUAGCUCUGCGCCAUCAAAAAAUAAUAUGUGAAGUAGAAGUAGCAACUGGCAUUAACUUGAGACAAGAAAGAGAUUAAUGGCGAAUUGCACAACCAAGGGUCUUGGUGUGCUGCUUCUCAUGCCAUUGAAAAAAAAAUAUUUGUUACGAUAAACUCUAGGCUUUUAUGCAAACAGUACAAGUAUGCCUAAACAAGCGUCUUUGCUGUGCUGCUUCUCAUGCCAUUGAAUAAAACAGUUGUUACGGAACACUGUAGGCAUCUGUACCAACAUUAAAAGUAUGUAAUAUGGUGGUGCCUUUAUCAGGGAAAAAAAUGUAACGUGCUGCCAAGCAUUCAUACAUCAGAACCUAAAGCUGGCAGAUGCAUGGUAAACUUGGACAAGAAAAGAAAGUGAUGAAAAUAUGAGAGAUACUUACCCUCAAAACAUGGUUGAUUUGAGAACAAAUAAACCUAGCCUUCAGCUCCUUAACUUUAGAGUAAGUCAGCCAUACUAUCAUUGUUAACACGCCUGUUCCAGGAAGUUCAUUGUGUUACUUACAGUUGAACAUUGAUAAAGCUGCCAGCUGCUAGAGGGACUCUUCAAAAUAGCGCUGAUAUUCACACAACAGAAUUUCCAAACAUAAAGGUAUUUGUUUAUCUCUAAUUUCAUAUUGACACUUGUGCUGUAUUUAUUUUCCUAUCCUCUAUAUUGAGCUAAUCCAUGCUAUCAUGUUAUUAGUGUGUGUUGGACUAUCUACCUUGCAUAUACCACAGCAAGCAAAAUAACAGGCUUUUAACGAUGGAGGAACGUUCCCAUUUAAAGACCUAACAAACAUGCCCGAAUGUCAGAUGAGAAGAAAGCUGGCGCAUCCCGACAUCAAAAGAAAGCUGCAGCAGCUCGGGGUGUUAAUGUCAAUGAACCACCAUCAUCUUCUUUGCUAGGGUCUGUUGACCCUACCCCUUUAUGUAACAAAACAUAUCAACAAAUGGUAAUUCGACACACAUGUUUUUCAUUUUACUCCUGUACUACGUAGCGUCCCUCGAAUGCUCACAUGUCUAACAUGGUUGGCUAUUGUGCACAGGUGAUAACACAAGUGGGGCUGCAAACCCCACUCCUGUUGAUGCACCGUUGCCACAAAAUCGUAAAGGAAAGAGUGGUCAAGGAUGGCAUGCCCGGCUUUCUGACGAGAAGAAAGCAGCAUGCCUGUAGAAGCUGCUAAUAUCCUGCCAACAUUGCUGACAAUGGGCCUUCAGGCUCCACUAGUCUCUCUAGGUCGCAUGGGCAGGCAUGAAUUUAGGGGUUGGCAUGUAAAAGUUAAAGAUUACAGUCAUAUGAAGUUGGAACAGCAAACUGUAUAAUACAUAUAAGAAGGAACUGAGCACAAUUAGUAUACAUGACAUGCUGCUGUGAACUGCUGCAGUCUAAGAACAUGGUUAGACAAAGAAGAAAACAGCUCAUAUGGUAGGAGCCACUAAUAUUGAUCUAAAGGAUAAACUGGAUGCCUGCAUAGCUGACACAGGACUUGUGUUUGAUCAUCUGUAGUUGGUCUGUUUCAUCAUGCACCACCUCCACACCGGUCAUGACAGCAGCCUGAUUGUCACUCUUGGUCCUGCCCUCGUCCCCAAUGUCAAAAACUUUGUUGAUGCAAAACCUGCCGGCUCCCAGGUAGAGCAGGCAGCCCCUUAUUUGCACCCAGCCCUGAGGCGGGUCGAGGACUUGCCACUCACGUAGCAUCCUGGGAGCCCCGGCGUCGAGGCUGGAGAGGUCCGACGCGCACAGGUUGUUGGGGCUGCUGUCAGCCAUGCCGAACCAGAGGUUGCCAAGCUCAGGGACAUGCUCGGCCCGGCCGUAGAAGGGCAGCGCCCAGCGGCCAGCCUUACUCCACUUGCGGCUAGCCGUGUCGAAGCAGUAGGUCCCGAUGGGGCUGCGCCCGGAGGAGGAUAUGCAGAUGGUGGAGCCUGCAUUGAGCAGCGUGUAGGAGUGGAUAGCGGUGCAGUCGUAGGCCGGGUCGUUGACAUAGGGCGGCGGCGGGAGCCGGCUCCACUCCCAGCAGUUGUUCUCGCCGUAGGCGAGGGACUCGAAGCUGCACGAGCUGCGGCCGGUGGGGAACCUGUCCAUGACGUACAGAGCCACGGCGGCGGGGGCGGGGGCGCCGACGCGAGCGAUGGUGAACGAGAUGGGGCUGUCCCCCUUGGGCUCGCCGAGGCUGGGGGCAGGCUGGACGCAGCCAGAGCUCGCGUCGCAGAGGAUGGUGUGGCCUGCCGAGUCCACGGAGAGGAUCUCGCUGCUGCUGCUGCUGUCGCCGCCGCGACCGUACAGGGGCAGGAAAUCGAGCCGCAUGUCGUCCAGGCGGUACGCCUCGAGCCUGAGAUUGGGCUUGGGCAUCCUCGACAUGGCCGGAAUCUUCUUCAUGGGCGGCGCCGCGGUUCGCGCUUCCUCUACGGAUGCGUAGAAGAGCUUCUUCUCGGGCUUGAUGCGGCUCACCGAGUAGGUGGUGCCUGUGCGCAUCACCACGUUCACCAACUGCCGCGCCGCCCUCAUUUACCUGCCCUCUCACAGCAAAGAUUCUUUCUGAUACGAGGUUGUAACAAGAUCUCUAGAGAGAAGGAGAAAAAUCGAACAGGAAAGAUUGAAUUUUGGGAGCAGCAAUACCUGCAGCAGGGGAGGACUCGACGAAUCGAAACGAGCGCGGCUACUGCGACGGCGGCGGCGGCGGCGGCGGCGGAGAAUUGGAAUGAAACAACGAUGGGAUCUAGGUCUUGCCCCCCCCUUUCACCUGAUCAUAUUAAAUGGAUCAAACAGAUGGGUAGACAAUGGGCCGACUGGGCCGCAUUACCACGAAAAUUCAUAGAACCAAGUAGCGAUUUCCACUAUUUUCAUUUUCCCAGAAUGUGUCCCAACUAACUUCAAAAAAAAAAAGAAUGUGUCCCAACUUUUUGCCUAAUUUUUCCCAGAGAUGAUUGAUUCAACCUCUGAUAAAAAAGAUAUAUACCUUAGUUCUAUGUCAUCUCUUCAACAAGUUUAGUAAUAAGCAUAAUGACCAUGUUGUUCCGAUUGAGAGAAGAACCUAUAACUAGCUUUUCGGGAAAUUUCCAAACAAACUAUUUCAAUGAAAUCUUUAAUUUCAAUUUAUUAUGUUCAACUUUAUGCAUUCCUCUAUCAUAGUACAUUGAAUAUACAGAAAUGGCUAUAGCAGAGUUUCUGUUAUUCGUAUUAACAACCACUCCAGGGAGAAUGUUUUUUAUGUGGUGCUAAUGAUUUAAUAACUAUCUUUGUAGCUCCAAAAUGUUUCAGUUUAUAUUCCUACCUAUUGUAUGGAUAUACCAAAAAAGAUCUAUGGUCUAAUGAGGCUACUAUGAAAUUGUGAGCGGUCUUAUCAAUACAAAAAUGUAUAACUCCCCGGAAUUUCAAUUGUGCUUAUAUCCAUCAUUGUAGGACUUGGGUUCAAGCUUUCCUUAAUCCCUUUUCGUCAAUGGACUCCUGACGUCUAUGAAGGAGUGCGGUUCGCUUGACAAAUUCCCACCUCUAUAUCUAUCUCUGAGGUGUUUGGGUUUUACAGAAAUCCAUAGACAUGCAGAAGAGAAAUGCUAUCUCCACUCCGACCCAGAUAUAACAUUUACCAAAAGUUUACUGUGAUCCUGUUGUUUAAAUAACAAUUAAGGUGAAGCAGGGUAAGGAACAACGGAUCUCUUUAUGAUGAACAGAUCCAUUUUGCAAGGUAGUUCCUGCAAAGAAUCGGACUAAUAACAUAUACAAUGCUUGAAUUAUCGAUGUAGAUGCUACAUAGUAGGUUCUCAUCCUUCAGAGAUUACAAGUGUAAUAGGAGCAUCCGUUGACAAAAGGAUCGCCCUAAGAUGACUAUCUCAUGGCUAUUGGGAACGAAUCAAAUCAGAUGCUUCUAUUUCUCAGCCUUUCUGACUUGCUCCUACAGAACCAAGGUCAAAAUGAUUGAAAAAGUCAGCCAUUCACAACCACCGAUGAAGGAUUCCUCGAAAAGUUAAGGAUUAGUAGUGCUUUUUUGAAAAAGAAUGGAUUCGGCCUUAUACAUACGCGAGAAAGGUAAUAAAAAAAAGAGAGAAUACGACUUCUUUUUUAUCACUUAGGAGUUGUGCGAGAUGAAAGUCGCAUGCACUCAUCAAUGGGUUACCACUUUUUCUUCCCUUCACCAAAAUUUGCCGCCCGUGCAUCUCAUCUCACCAGCCCUGACUCAGCAAUGCCCCAACACCGACAAGCUUGCCCACAAGGUCAUCCCGCCAAUCCUUCUACUAUAUCGUGCUCUUGAAGCUCUGUGCCGCCCACUGAACUAUCUGUGGCCCGGUAGCCUUCGACUCUGGUGGACCUCCCUCACCACCCUCCAGAACCUCUCGGCCGCCACAUGGUCUCUCCAUGACCCGACCUACUCUGGCUCCGAUGCACAUCCCGCUGUGGCUCUCGUGAAGCACCCGCUAGCCCCGUGAAUAGGUCGACGUUGUAUGUGUGACAUUGGAUUACCGCUUCUUCGGUAAACUAANNNNNNNNNNNNNNNNNNNNNNNNNNNNNNNNNNNNNNNNNNNNNNNNNNNNNNNNNNNNNNNNNNNNNNNNNNNNNNNNNNNNNNNNNNNNNNNNNNNNNNNNNNNNNNNNNNNNNNNNNNNNNNNNNNNNNNNNNNNNNNNNNNNNNNNNNNNNNNNNNNNNNNNNNNNNNNNNNNNNNNNNNNNNNNNNNNNNNNNNNNNNNNNNNNNNNNNNNNNNNNNNNNNNNNNNNNNNNNNNNNNNNNNNNNNNNNNNNNNNNNNNNNNNNNNNNNNNNNNNNNNNNNNNNNNNNNNNNNNCCAUCGACAACGUAUGUCACACUCCUCUCGCAAUCUAAUAAAGGCAGCAUACAUGUAUGAGUAUGCGUGGUGAUCAUGGCGUCGGCGGCUAUCCACUUCUUAACUGACCAACCACUUCAUUCAUGGCUCCUAUAUGAUCAUCAUGGCGAUUCUAUACUAGAACAACUGACGACUACCUCGUGCUUGUUAUGUCUUGAUCUCCAUUGGAAAUAAUUAAUCUCCAAUUACUUAUUUUCCUAUAAAUUAUCCCAACAAAAUCAUAUUAUUAUACAAUUGUUGCCGAUGUCAUUAAAAUUAUUCUAUGAUUCUCCUCGUUGUCAUUAUAAUUAUUCUAUGAUUCUCUCAAAUGAUAUUAAAAAUUGUAUCAGUGAAUUGCACUCUUCACAUGAAAUGACAAGAAGUAGUGUACGAGUAAUUAUGAAAAACAUGACUGAAUCACCAUACACGAUUUGUGUGUGUAUAUUGUUUUUAACCUGAUUUGUCACCUCUUGACUCAACGGUGGAGCGCGGCAGCGAGACGAAACUUGGAGCCUAGAGCGGGAUAGUAGGACCCUAUUUGUUGGCAGGGUGAGUUUUGGACUUGUAGGGGCGAAUGGCGACCCAUGUUAUGUGUGUGCCCAGUUUAGGUCGAGUGCAUGAUGAUUGGUAAAGGUGAUUUGUGUGUGACUUCUAGACAAAUUGUAUCUUCAUUUUUCCAAGUAGUACAUAGACUUUUAUUUGAAUUUGAUUAGAAUAUCAAGUGGUGUUUGUAAAUGGUCCAACAUAUUCUACACGACUUUAUGAGGUUUUAGAAGCAUUGUCAUUGGCAUGCAUGAUGUCCUACCAACCGUUAUUUAUGGGGAACAAUUUUGCAUGGCCUCACGCACACCACACACAAAUGACUGGUAUUGCCGACCUUUUUUACGUGAAAAAUGAAAUAAUCCAUAUAUUACUAUCGCAUAUGGGUGGUGCUAGUCAGGUGUGUCGACACAAUAAAACAGUGGAAGCAAAAAGUCGAUGGCUAAAUUGCACAAGCUUUAGUCGCCGACGUCAUUAGUUGCAAUCCCAAGUUGGAAUUAUGCCCAACCCCUAGGUUGUUUCUUCUACUUGAUACACAUAAGGAUUCCAUUCAUGUUGCCUUAGUUGGCAUCGACGCCAUCGGUCCAACAUCACUGAUCUGUUAUUUAUUGUAAUGCAUAUAUAUAAUGAAGAGUUACAAUUGAUAGACCAGACAUCCACACAUGGUGAAGAAAAAAUCAUAAAAAUGAAGGCAACAAAGGGACUGGUUUAUGUCAACCCGAAACUCGGUGACAAGGAUGCCAAAAUUAUUUAAAUGCACACUUUAUUAUUUAUAACAUUUCCUUCAGUUGGUUAUGUUCUACUACAUGUAAGAUUUCCUUUUAUUCUGUAAGUGUGAUGAUUUAUUAUUUGUUACUUCAUGACUAGGAAAAAAUUAUAAAGAAUAUUUUUUCAGUUGCUCCAAUAGCUUUCCUACAAUACUAUGAUUACUCAUGGUUCACGAAUAUCGUUAUUUCAUGUGCUAUCCCGUCCAUAUCUAGUGUUCGAGAUGGGGAAGCCCUCCGGCGGCGAGAUUGCGAGAAGAGCAACGUUUAGGACCUUCAAGGGAGUAAUGGCCUCAACCACCAUUGUCUCCUCCUCGGAUUGGUCGGAUGGACCAAGAACAUGGGUGAAUGGGAGAAGUACACCAUGAGCUCGGGAGAAGGGUGUUGGUACCGGGAGUAUGAAUAGGUAGCUAGUCGCUUUGGAGGAGCUCGAUAACGAUGGCUUAGUCUGUUGUGGCGCUGACAUAGGAGAUCAACAAAUAUCACAAAUAUGAUCUUGUGUUGUGAGAACAACGGUUUUUCAAGUAUCACAUCUCUGACCGGGAGCAUGAAUACCUUUUUUUAUUGAAACACCGUGUGUAGUCUUUAACAAAGUUGGUUUAUAACUUAAGACCAUACAUUUCGCAUGAAAUACUAAUUUCCUAGCAUGAAUACUUUUUCCUUGAAAUACCAUACAUUUUUUCUUUACCAUAUUUGAUGAAAUUUCAUUUGGUUCAAUUUUUGUCUUAUAUAUUUGAAUUCCGGGAGCAACUACACACUCAGGUCACCUAACUUAACAACCUAAAUCUUUAGGAUUUUAUUAUUUCCAAAGGAAAGAGGGUGCCAUGGGUGGUGGCUUGACAUAUUAAAGUAUUUUAUACGACUUGUUGUUAGGACCACAUAAAAAAAUGAAGAAGUCACCAACAUGAAAGUUCCCGGAUCACCAAUAGGAGCAAAAAAGCCUUUUCGAACAUCUCAAUCGGAGGUACUAUUCAAAUUUUGGAACGGAUUUUUGAAUAUUUGUGUGCCUCCUAAGCAACACGCUCAAUCACCCCUAGCUGUUAUGCGUCAAGUUUCUCCGGGAACGCCUCUGUCGCCAUUUACGGUGAGGGAAGCGUUUGGUCGUGCCCAUCUUUCUUCAAUUCUUCAGAUUGGCAAGCAUGUGUCUGAUCUAUCUAGCAGUAGAGAGAGGUGAUAAUGGAACUGAAAUUCCUGAAAUCAAUUUUGUGUUAGGGAAAAGCUGGUAAGGAUGAUGAUGUCUUGAAGUUGGUGUUUGAGAAUUUACAUGAUGGAAAAACUGCGGCAAUUUAUAUUGAGAAAACCACCAUCGUUUGUUUCUAAACGUAAGAUGUUUUGGCAGCCAAAACGUCUUGCAUUUAGGAACAUAGAGUGUAUUAUAGAAGUUCAUUGGGGAUUCGGAACUUAAGGUAUAACAGUUGAUUUCCGCAACUAAAGAUAUCACCAAUGUUUGGUAACUAAAAAUACUCACCUUGCACUUGAAUAAAUAUGUUGAAGGUAUUUAAGUAUUUGUUUUGAUAUACUUUUAGAAACAAUAACAAUAUCACGUGUUGAUUUUUGUUUUUGUUUUUGCAACUAAAAAUGCCCAAAAGUUUAUCAAAACUUCCUCGGAUAUAUAGGAGGGGUGGGCAAGUCGAUUUUCUGGGCCGUUGGGCGUUGGAUUAAGAUUCAACGGCCAUCCAUGUUUUUUUUCCUCCAGCCAUUUAAUUCUUCCCCCACAAAACCGACUUACCCAAAUUGCAAAUUCAGUCAACUUAUACAUGAGUAGCUAUAUGUUUGUAUUUGCUAUUGUGGACAUUGAUGUUAAGAUUGGUAAAGCGUCUCAACUCUCAUACAGAGAGCCCACGAGGUAUAUAUUGAUUGUGACGAGAGGAUUAGUCUCGUAGGAGUACAUGGUGCGGUUGAGAUCUCCAACCGUGGAGGAGGAUUACAUGAGAGGGAGAGAAGAAAAGAUAGAAAGAUAAAAGGAUCCUCUAACUACUCUCCUAAUCCUAUACGUGAAGCUCAAGGCUACCACGUACGUUACAAUAUUUCCAACACUCCCCCUUAAUCACAACGAUACUAAGUUGAGAUUACGUCGAAAUUCUUCAAAACCUUUUGUGGGUAACGCCUUUGUAAAACCAUCUGCAAGCUGAUCCUUUGAGGGAAUAAAUCUGACCUCUAACUGUUUAUUUGCAACCCGUUCUCUGACAAAGUGAAAAUCUAUCUCAAUAUGCUUAGUCCUGGCAUGGAAAACUGGAUUAGCAGAUAAAUAUGUUGCACCAAGAUUAUCACACCACAGACAUGGAGGAUGAACUUCUGAAAUGCCAAGUUCCUUCAACAUAGACUGAACCCAAAUGACUUCUGCUGUGGCAUUGGCUAAUGCUUUAUACUCUGCUUCAGUACUUGACCUAGACACAGUUGCUUGUUUCUUUGCACACCAAGAAAUUAAAUUAGGUCCAUAGAAAAUGGCAAAACCACCAGUGGAUCUCCUAUCAUCCAAGCAACCAGCCCAAUCCGCAUCGGAAAAAUGCACUUAUAAGAGUAGAUGAUGACUUUCUAAAUGUGAGACCAACAGUCAUUGUAUUCUUCACAUACCUCAAAAUUCUCUUAACUGCUGUCCAAUGUGUGGUGGUUGGUGCAUGAAGGAAUUGACAAACUUUCUUAACUGCAAAGGAAAUAUCAGGUCGUGUGAGAGUCAAGUACUGAAGACCACCAAGAAUGCUUCUGUAACUAGUGAUAUCCUCCCUGUCCAGAAGUUCUUCUGUUGUCAAAGAUAAGGGUUCCAAACUGGAUAAUGGUGUUGGUGACGGUUUACAGUUUUGCAUACCAAUUCUGCUCAACAACUCAGCUACAUAUUUAGCUUGAGAUAGAUGAAGGCUAUCACCAUUUUUCUGAACCUCAAUACCUUAAAAGAAAUGCAAAUCUCCCAAAUCCUUGAGAGCAAACUCAGAACCCAAACUCUUAAGCAACGUUGCCACGGCAUCAUUGGAGGAGCUAGUAACAAUUAUAUCAUCAACGUAUAUGAGAACAAACAUGGAUACUUGUGGCUUGGUAAAGAUAAAUAGUGAGGUGUCAGAUUUCGAAGGAGCAAACCCAAGUGCCUGAAGCUUCAUACUGAGUCUUGAGUACCAUGCUCUCGGAGCUUGCUUCAGACCAUACAACGCUUUAUCAAGUUUGCAUAUAUGGAGAGGCUUGUUUUUGUCCUCAAACCCAGGAGGUUGUUUCAUAUACACAUCUUCUUCCAGAACGCCAUGCAGAAACACAUUCUGCACAUCUAGCUGUCUGAGACUCCACCCCCUAGAAACAACAAUUGACAGCACAAGACAGAUGGUUGCAACUUUAACGACAGGACUAAAGUGUCCUCAUAAUCUAGCCCAUACCUUUGCUUGAAACCUUUCGCCACAAGUCUAGCCUUGUAAUGAUCUAUAGUGCCAUCUGACUUCUUUUUAAUGCGAUAUACCCAUUUGCAGUCAAUGAGGUUUCUACCUUGUUGAGGAGGAACCAAGUGCCAAGUUUUAUUCCUCUAUAAAGCCACAAAUUCGUCAUUCAUAGCUGUUUUCCACCUAUCAUCACCAAGUGCAUCCAUGAGAUUUUUAGGUUCACCUGCCAUGCAAGAUAAUCCAUAUUUGGAGAAGUUUUGUAAUUAAUUCGGGUAGAAACUCCCGUUUGUAGGUGUGUGCGUGGUUCUGCAGGAAUGACCACGGAGGGAUCCGGCGCAGAAGAUCCAGCAGGAUCAGCUGUAUCAGCAGAGGCCGAUCCCCCAGCAGCUUCGGCGCCAGGAGCUGCCGCACCCGAUCCCGAGGCAGAGCCAGGCGGGGCGACCCAAUCAGGUGAGCGCGUAGGGGAGGCCGCGGCGGGCCCGGUCGAAACAGGCGAGGCAGGGGAGACCGUGGCGGUCCCGCUCGAGGCAGGUGACCGCGGCCGCCCGUGGCAGGUGCGCCCCGUGUCACCCGGGGAUUGGCGCGGGGAGGCGACGUCGCUGUCACCGCUGGCGUCGGUAGGCGGGGGCGUGGGGCCAGCGGAAGCAGCGCCAGAAGCGCCAGAGGCGGGCCCGACAAGAUCAGCGCCAGAGGCGGAUCCCGAGGCGGGGUGCGCUGCCGCCUGCAGCGGAGUUGAUCCCGAGGCAGAUCCUCCUCAGGUUGCGUUGUCUCCUGGAGGGGGCACAUGAAAUGACCACCUGUUUCAGCAUUUUGUACUCUGUUUUCACCAGAAAUAAUUGUUCCUGCAGUAGUAGACUUAGCCAUGGUAUGAUGAUUAGUCACAAAUAGGUCAGAACUACUAUUAGCACCCUCAUGAUCAAGGCCAGAAAGAGAUGGUGGCAAGAGAAGGAUUUCUUGACGAAGAAGAGCACCGGCAUUGGGAUGAAGUUUCUCAAAAGGAAAAAGAGUCUCGUCAAAAACAACAUCUCUAGAGAUGUAGACUCGGCCAGUAGCUACAUCGAGACACUUAACUCCUUUAUGUUGAGCGCUAUAGCCAAUAAAAACACACUGCUUGGAGCGAAACAUAAGUUUUUGAUUGUUAUAUGGACGGAGAUUUGGCCAACACGCACAACCAAAGACACGAAGGGGAGCGUAGCCUGGUUUGUGAUGAAGAAGACGUUCGGUGGGUGUUUCAUUGUUAAUACGACUGGGCAAGAUAUUAAUGAGGUGAACAGCAGUCAAGAAGGCUUCAUCCUAAAACUUUAGUGGCAUGGAAGCAGCAACAAGUAAUGCAAGGCCUACUUCAACAAUAUGAUGAUGCUUGCGUUCAGCACUACCAUUUUGUUGGUGAGCAUGUGGGCAAGAGACGUGGUGAGAGAUGCCUAUCUUUUGGAAAAAUGAGUUUAGUUUCUCGUACUCACCACCCCAGUCUGAUUGCAUGGCAAUGAUUUUACAAUCAAAUUUUCUCUCAACUAGAGCUUGGAAGUUAUGGAAAACUUGAAAGACAUCGGAACGUUUCUUAAGGAGAUAAAUCCAUGUGAAUCUACUGUAGUCGUCAAUAAAGCUCACAUAAUAAGUGUGUCUACCAACGGAAGAGGGUGCUGGACCCCACACAUCAGGAAAAAAUCAAUUGCAAGGGUUUAAGAGACACACUAGUAGAAAUAGAAUAUGGUAAUUGAUGACUUUUUGCACGCUGACAUGAAUCACAAAUAGUUUCACAAUUUCGCUCACCAACAAAUGGGAGUUUAUUCUUGCUAAGAAUUUGAUAAACAAAGGAAAAAGAUGGGUGGCCCAAGCGAUUGUGCCACCUUUCUGAAGAAACUCUAAUGGCUCCAAAGGCUUGUUUAUUGAACUUGCAAAGUGUAGGAAUCAAUGGGUAGAGACCAUCCACGCAUCUACCGCGAUAAAGGACCUUCCGUGUUGCCUGAUCCUUGAUCAAAAAGAAAAACAGAUGAAUUCUAUGAAGACCCCAUUAUCAAGAGUGAUUUUAUGAACAGAAGCAAGACUUUUUGAUGCAUGUGGAACAAGUAGGACAUCAUUGAGACGAAUAUCGCUAUGAGGGGUUUUAAUAGUAGAUUGACCAACGUGAGUUAUCAUCAUACCUUGACCGUUUGCUGCGGUGUUGAUUUGAUCAUGGCCGUGGUACUUCUCUUGCAUGGUCAACCUUUCCAUGUCGGGAGUGAGAUGUUCAGUAGCACCGGUAUCGGCAUACCAGUUCGUGUCCACACCAUAGGACACAUCUACGACGGCUGCAACUUUCUUCUUCUGCGAAUUUUCUUCAUAGCGCCAAAGACAAUCUUUUGCUAUGUGGUUAGUUUUUUUACAAAUUUGACAUUUGCCCUCGUACUCAUCAUAUCCUUGGAAGUUGUUGCCACCGCCAUAGCCACCACGGUAGCCACCGCCGUAGCCACCUUGGCGCCCCUGGUUGUUGUUGUAGAAGGGGCGCCCUUGAUCAUUGUUGUUGUAGUGGUGACCGCGACCACCAUUGUUGUGGUAGACAGGACCACCACCAUUGCCGUUUUUGUUGUAGUUGGGGUUGUUGUAGCUGUUGGAAAUAUGCCCUAGAGGCAAUAAUAAAAGUAUUAUUAUAUUUCAUUGUUCAUGAUAAUUGUCUUUUAUUCAUGCUAUAACUGUAUUAUCCGGAAAUCGUAAUACACGUGUGAAUACUUAGACCACACAAUGUCCCUGGUAAGCCUCUAGUUGACCAGCUCGUUGUGAUCAACAGAUAGUCAUGGUUUCCUGACUAUGGACAUUGGAUGUCGUUGAUAACGGGAUCACAUCAUUAGGAGAAUGAUGUGAUGGACAAGACCCAAUCCUAAGCAUAGCAUAAAAAGAUCGUGUAGUUCGUUUUGCUAGAGCUUUGCAAGUGUCAAGUAUCUCUUCCUUCGACCAUGAGAUCGUGUAACUCCCGGAUACCGUAAGAAUGCCUUGGGUGUACCAAACGUCACAACGUAACUGGGUGACUAUAAAGGUGCAUUACAGGUAUCUCCGAAAGUAUCUGUUGGGUUGAUACGGAUCGAGACUGGGAUUUGUCACUCCGUAUGACGGAGAGGUAUCUCUGGGCCCACUCGGUAAUGCAUCAUCAUAAUGAGCUCAAUGUGACCAAGGUGUUGGACACGGGAUCAUGCAUUACGGUACGAGUAAAGUGACUUGCCGGUAACGAGACUGAACAAGGUAUUGGGAUACCGACGAUCGAGUCUCGGGCAAGUAACGUACCGAUUGACAAAGGGAAUUGCAUACAGGGUUUAAUCGAAUCCUCGACAUAGUGGUUCAUCCGAUGACAACAUCGAGGAGCAUGUGGGAGCCAUCAUGGGUAUCCAGAUCCCGCUGAUGGUUAUUGACUGAGAGCGUCUCGGUCAUGUCUGCUUGUCUCCCGAACCCGUAGGGUCUACACACUUAAGGUUCGGUUACGCUAGGGUUGUAGGGAUAUGUAUAUGCAGUAACCCGAAUGUUGUUCGGAGUCCCGGAUGAGAUCCCGGACGUCACGAGGAGUUCCGGAAUGGUCCGGAGGUAAAGAUUUAUAUAUGGGAAGUCCUAUUUCGGGCAUCGGGACAAGUUUCGGGGUUAUCGGUAUUGUACCGGGACCACCGGAAGGGUCCCGGGGGUCCACCGGGUGGGUCCACCUGCCCCGGGGGGCCACAUGGGCUGUAAGGGGGUGCGCCUUGGCCUAAUGGGCCAAGGGCACCAGCCCCACAUAGGCCCAUGCGCCUAGGGUUCAAGGGGGCAAGAGUCCUAGGAGGGUAAGGCACCUCCUAGGUGCCUUGGGGGGAGGGAAAACCCCCCUUGGUCGCCGCACCCCCUAGGAGAUUGGAUCUCCUAGGGCCGGCCACCCCCCCUUGGCACCCCUAUAUAUAGUGGGGGAGAGGAGGGACUUCAUACCUGAACGGUUUGGCCUUUGGUUGCCUCUUUCUCCCUCCCCAACACCUCAUCCACCUCCAUAGUGCUUAGCAAAGCUCUGCCGGAGUACUGCAGCUCCAUCAACACCACGCCGUCGUGCUGCUGCUGGUGCCAUCUCCCUCAACCUCUCCUCCCUCCCUUGCUGGAUCAAGAAGAGGAGACGUGGCUGUUCCGUACGUGUGUUGAACGCGGAGGUGCCGUCCGUUCGGCGCUGGUCAUCGGUGAUUUGGAUCACGUCGAGUACGACUACAUCAUCACCUUGCAAGCUUUCGCACGCGAUCUACAAGUGGUAUGUAGAUGCAAACUCUCUCCCUAGACUCGUUGCUUAGAUGAACUCAUAGAUGGAUCUUGGUGAAACCGUAGGAAAAUUUUUAAUUUUCUGCAACGUUCCCCAACAGUAGCCGCCACCGCCGUUGUUGCCUCCACCACCACCGCGGUACCCGCCACCACCACCAUUAGUGGGUUUGGGCGAGCCUCGGUAGUUGUUUUUGCCGCCGCCGCCGUGAUUCCUUGCAGCCAUGUUGGCCGAGGAUUUGAAGCCGCCCGCACUUGAGCCAUGGAAAAGCUCGCCCCGCUGGUCAAAGUUCGCCACCAUGGCGAACAGCUCAUCAACGGAGACGGGCUCUACGCGGACAUCCAUGGCCGAGAUGAUGGACUGGUAAUCCAUGUCCAGCCCCGCGAUGAUGAAGGACAGUAGCUCCGGUUCCCCGAUAGGCCUUCCUGCAGCUGCAAGUUCAUCCGAAAGAGACCUCAUAUGACCAAAAUAAGCAGCAGAUUGGGAACCUUUGUGGGCAUUGGUCGGAGAGAUUCUGAGGUUAUUCACACGGGAUGCGGAUUGGGCUGUGAACAUGUUUGCAAGGGCCCGGCCGCACCUCCCCCCUCCCUCCUUUAUAUACGGGGGCAAGGGGGCACCCCAUGACACAAGUUGAUCAUCGUGAUCGUUCCUUAGCCGUGUGCGGUGCCCCCCUCCACCAUAUUCCACCUCGGUCAUAUCGUUGCGGUGUUUAGGUGAAGCCCUGCAUCGGUAGAACAUCAUCAUCGUCACCACGCCGUCGUGCUGACGGAACUCAUCCCCGACACCCUGCUAGAUCGGAGUCCGGGGAUCGUCAUCGAGCUGAAUGUGUGCUGAACUCGGAGGUGCCGUACGUUCGGUGCUUGGAUCGGUCAGAGAUCGUGAAGACGUACGACUACAUCGACCGCGUUGUCAUAACGCUUCAUGCUCAAGCUAAACUCCUGAGGGUUAAUAGGAUUAACAUCUUACUAUUGUCAGGAAAACAACAAGUGCAGACUUGGAAACGAGGGAGAAUAGAACCCGAAAGUUAAGCGUGCUUGGGCUGGAGUAGUGAGAGGGAUGGGUGACCGGUCGGGAAGUUAGAUAAUUUGGAAUGAGUGAUCCACACUUGAGCAGUUAAGAGAGGCGAUUAGAGACUAAAUCAUCAAAUAAUUCAGAAAAAUUAAAAAUCGAAAAAAAAAUUCAAAAAAAAAUUUCAAAAAAAAAACCGGUAACACCAACCGGUACUAAAGGUCCCCCAUACCAGGGCGCGAGCUCACGCCACAUGGUGGCACUUUAGAAGCCGAACUGGAGGAAGAAGACAUGGCGCUAGGUUCUGAUCUGAAGGAGGUUUUUGAUGGCGGCUAGGUUUGAUCUGGUGGAGAGCUAGAUGUGGAGGAAGAAGAUGGCUCUGAAUACCAUGUUAAGAUUGGUAAAGCGUCUCAACUCUCAUACAGAGAGCCCGCGAGGUAUAUAUUGAUUGUGACGAGAGGAUUAGUCUCGUAGGAGUACAUGGUGCGGUUGAGAUCUCCAACCGUGGAGGAGGAUUACAUGAGAGGGAGAGAAGAAAAGAUAGAAAGAUAAAAGGAUCCUCUAACUACUAUCCUAAUCCUAUACGUGAAGCUCAAGGCUACCACGUACGUUACAAUAUUUCCAACAAUUGAAACAUGACAUGUGCCUUCUAACCUUUUCAGGAGAAGAAGAAGAAGAAGAAGAAGAAGAAGAAGAAGAAGAAGAAGAAGAAGAAGAGGAGGAACGAAACGCCGUAGUUCAUGCAUGCUUGUACAGAUUCAUCCACCAACAAACACGGCUUGCUAUCGUAGAGUAGUCAGCUAAUUAAAAAGGAUGGAUCCCUUGAGAUGGAUGGAGUAUGACAUGAUCGUCUCAUUGGGUUUUGAUUUGAGUUGUGUACUUCCAAGCAAGCAUGCGUGCACGUAGGCAGGAUCGGAGACGCGUACGUACGUAGUACAUCUCGAUCCGGCAGCUCCCAUGCAUGCAUGCACGUCGAUCCGUCCUCGCCCACCUGUGCAUCCUCAUCGCCCCAGGCUGCAGAGACUCCAGCGUACCCGGCCGGGCCUUGUCCCCGCUGCACGUACGGGUCCUCGGCACACCUAGCUAGGCGUCUUUGACGGCGCCGCGCUCGCCGGCAGGGACGACGGUCCUUCCUGGAGCUCGCCCACGGCAGGGUGUCCACUCCACUCCACGAGGACGGACGUUGUGGAUGGAAUGCGAAUGCAUGUCAUCCAGCUGGAGCGGUGCGGGGGCAGCUAGCUCACAGACAAAGAGGUGACGUUUGAGCACCGCUGUCCCGAUCGAACCGAAGCACGCAGCAGCAGACGAAAGACGAUAGAGCACACCCGUCCCGUCCAUGCGUGGGGGCCGGGAAGACAAGACGUGGAAACUUGGAGAAGACGAAAGACGUUUCGUCCUCGCCGUCGGUCAAUCAACAGGAGCGAUAGAUCGUCGACCUUGUUGUUGGUGGUGACCGCAGCAUGAUCCCGGCCUCCCCUGUACAUCGUCGCUCUGGCUGCUGUGCACGCGCGUAACUUGCCAGUUAAUCCUGCAGCUAGCUAGCUAGGCGCAUUUUGGCGCGGCACCGUGCUCGCCUCACCCGCGGCAUGCAUGGACGACGUACCGUACGGCCGCUCCUCGGCCUAGCUAGGACACGGCCUCCACGUACGAUCGAUCGAGGAGGAAAGGGGAUACGUGUGCGUGUGGGCACACGGCCCAAAGAGGGAGGCUGCUACCUCGCUUGAUAGUGGUGCUUUCUUCUUAGCGCCGGAGCAUGCAUGGGCGCGUGUACGCAGACGCGCGCGGGCAUUCCGGCGAACAAUCAUCAAGAGGAAAAGGAGGUGCGAAGAGGACGAAGAGAGAGAAGAUUUGUUCGCACGGCUGGCGUACGUGGGUCCCAACCGCAGCCGCAGCGGAUGGAUAAGAUAAGACGGUUUUUCUUUUGGUGAGGUGAGAAUGAUGAAAAGAAAAACAAGGACGCCAAACGCGUGUUCCUUUUCCUCUUUGGAGCGGCGGCGCUAAAACGCGCAGCUACCGCCCUAACGCUAGCUAUUGCUCUUUUAUUCUUCUCACGCACUGCUAACAAGUAAAAGGAACACGAGUUCCAUGCAGCUCUCUUCUACUCCUAGGAGCCUAGGAGAAGAGGCAUCGCCAAGCAUGCAGCUACCGCACGCUAUUGGUUUUUUAUUCUCACGCCUUUGGCCUAGCAAGACGAAGCGUGCACAUACGCACACUCCGUGUAGAGCUACUAAGUACGUACCCCGGUGACACGUACGUACGUACGUACUAGGACUUGCACACACCCUUACAUUAUUACUAUUAUUAUUAGGUGCGUGACAUGACACUCACACCGCCUUGAUGAUGGCGCCGGCCACCGCUUCCCAGCCGCGGAGGUGCUCGUCGUCGACGAUGUUGCUGCCGCGAACGCACUGUCGCACGCACUGUUGGUGCUUGGUCCGAUCUUUCCAGCCCUGACACUUCCUU
rnacentral:lncRNA from 1 species